CAAGGAAGAAGCUACUUGGGAGACCGAAGAGGCAAUACGUCAGCAGUACCCUCAACUGUUUGGAUCAGGUAAAUUUCGAGGCCGAAAUUUCUUUAAGGAGGGUAGAGUUGUAACAUCCUGAUUUUUGGGUUUUUUGCGAUUCUUGAUAUUUUAAGUAGAUUUCUAAAAUUUGGUAUGUGAUUAUGGAAUUCAUAAUUUGGGUAUGUAAAUGGGCUUAUGGAAGGCCCAUGAGGUGGCCAAAACCCGGUAGAAUUUUUAAAUUUUGGACUCUGGAGUUAGGGGUUCUGGCUGGGUGCCCUUAUAUUAAGUUGUGGGUAAAAUGUAUAACAAAAAAGAGCUUUAGUAAAGUGGCAAGGGUGAUGCCACUAAGCUCCUAAAAAGGUGGCGUGUGGAGCAUAAGGGAAGACCUGGGAUCGAUUCCCUGUGUUGGCAAAUAAGAGUAUUUAUUUUUAUGUGCAGGAAGGGUAAGUGUUGGAACCUAAGUGGAUUCUGUAAGAGGAGAGUUGGAUCAAGUCAAAUGCAUAGAUUAAGGAGGGAUAAGGGGAGAGAUUUUAGGGAUUUGAGAGAAGGAUAGAGCUUAGCCGAUUGGAAGGGGUUAGAGAGGGGAUUUCGGCAGAGGGGUAUUAGGUUAGUAAUUUCGGCAUUAGGGUCUUAGCUGUGCCAUUUUUUCUCUUUUGGUUUAGUUUUUCUCUUCUUUCUUCUUCCCUGGCCGAAUCUACCAUCUUUCCUCUCAUCUUUUCUCCCUUUUCUUUUUCAAAAACCAGCCCAUUACUACCAUCUUUCCUCUCAUCUUUUCUCCCUUUUCUUUUUCAAAAACCAGCCCAUUACUUUCCUCUACUCAUUUAUUGUUUCUUUCCUUAAUCUCUACUUCUACCGAAAUACCGCAAAAAGCCGAAAUCAGUGAAGAUAGGGGGUGCCGAUUCUUUGUGACCAACAACCUUUUUCUUUCCUUUCUAAUUGUUGGUGUCCAAUUCCUUUACCUGUUAGGCAUCUGGAUUCAAGAGCAGAAAGACUGUGGUAAGUGCUCAAACUCUAAACAAUUCCUAGUGUAACUUUUGGCCAAAAGUUGAAACCCCUCUGGUUUAGGGAGGUGGCCGAAUAUGGGUAUAGGCCUUAUGGGGUCUUCUUUUAAUAUUUUUGUGGUUUAUUUAGUGGAGGAGCAGCAAGGUUUAGUGUCGACUUGGAAUAGCUUGGAUCACCGGAGUGGCUAGACCUAGUCAUCAAUCGCGACAAAGGUAAGAUUCCUAAGGCCAUUAUGGAUGGUGGCCGAAUGUGUAAGUAUUAGUAUUAGAUGAUUUUUGGUUUGGUUCAAUUAUGGGAAGUUGGUUAUUAACGAUGGAUUAUAGGAGAAAUCGUGUAGGAGAUCUCGUCGAGGAAUAUCGCCAAACAGGUGUGUACGAACCCUUUUUCAUAGCUUAAAGCGAUAAAAUGCCGAAAAGCCGAAAUGCCAAAAUGCCGAAAUUCUGGCAUUUUGAGGACUUGUGAGCAAGCGAACGCUCACUAGUUAGUUAGAAUCGAUGUGAUGAUGAUCAAGAACAAUGGAAACGGUAAGGACGUGUUUUUGGCAUUCACGGCAAGUUGGGCCUUGAGGGGCUGAAAUAGGGCCCAAUAGGCUUUCGGGCCCAUUUGGGUAAAAUUGGUAGAAAACGGAAAUAUUUUAAACUGCAUGUUAAGACAGUUAAUACUGUUAUGGGUAUAGGCUAAAUGGGCCUAGAUGACAAAAUUAGUUCAGUAGGGCCCAUUAGGGGUUUUAGGCCCAACAACUCGGUUUCGCUAAAAUGGGCCAGAAUCACUGUGUGCACCCAUGAAUUGUUAGUAACCGUUAAUGAACAUGGAAACCCUGGUAUUUGGUAACAUUACAGAAUUACCCUUAUAAUAUGAAAAUGACCAUUUUGCCCCUAGGUAAGAAUAACCAUUAUACCCCAAGGGUUUAUACAUGAAUUUAAUGCAUGGGAUUCUGAUAAACAUGGUAUGUAUGAUAUGCACAUGACAUGUAUGAUAUGCAUAUGAUAUGUAUGACAUGCACAUGAUGUAUUUAUGAAUGCAUUGGGUUGGGUUUUUAUAUGGAUGGAGGAAGUGCAAAAGGGCUUAUGCCCCAGUUAUUAAAGGGCUUAUGCCCCAGUUAUUAGAGGGCUUUGCCUCAGUUAUUAAAAGGGCUUUGCCCCAGUUGUUAAAAGAGGCUAGGCCUCCAGUUAUAUGAUAAAGCAGCUAUGCUGCCAGUGGAGAGUUAUGGCGGGGUGGGUCGAGUAAAUCCCCACAUGGUGUGUUGGUUGGUACGGGUGGAGAGUAGCUGAUGGUGGGUUGAGUAGUCUCCCCAAAUGGGUUGCAUUCUUUCAUUUGAAAUUACAUGUGAUAUCGAAAUGGGCCUAUGGGCCAUACCGUUUACAGUAAAGGCUUCGGCCCAGUAAUAUGAAAUAUGGAAAGGCUUUGGCCCAGUGUUAUGAAAUAUGAAAUAUGAAAAGGGCUAUGGCCCAGUACAUGUUGAGAUUGGAUGUGCGCUUAGGCCCAACAGGCUGUUAUUGUUUUGGGCUCUGAAAGGGGCUUGUUGCACACUGAGUUUCCAAACUCACCCCCUUUCCUUAACCUUACAGGUGAGCCUUGAUGUGGGGACUUGGGCUGGAGGGGAUUCAGAGUGGCCACGGUGAUUGUCUUUGGACUUUUAAAUAAGCGUUGGUUUCUUUAAAUUUCCUUUAAAAAUUAUUUAUUUUUGGGUUGUAAUAAGGCCAUUCUAACUUUCCUUUUAUUUCUUUUUGGGAUUAUUUUAAUUUUAAUAACUUUAAAAUUGGUUGAUAAUUAUUCAAAUGGGCUAGACUUAGGACGUGUUUCCAAAACGAUAAUUUUUUUAAAAUAUCUCAACGCCACGAUUAAUUGAUUUAUCAAAGACGUCCACUUAAACAAAUUUAAACUCGGUAUAACAAAGUGUGGCUAUGGUUGUGGGCAUGUCUAGGAUUGGAUCCAAUCAAAGAGCUUGGUACUUAAGCAGCCUUCAUGGCUCACCUCCUCUAUCUCGGAUACCUACCUGGUGCUCGGCUUCCAUACACUUUGUUAACUCAGCAAAAUAUAUGGCUUUUAAAACACUAAAACGAAACACAGAUUUUUAACUCCAAUGUGGCACGUCAGAUUUGGCCAUAACGUCUGGGUCGGGUUUGGGGUGUUACAUUAUAGGUAUCAAGGCAAUGAAGUAAAUCACCAGCCCCUUUAAGGUCAUUUGAAAGAGUGGAGAAUUUAUCUUUGAAGUAAAUAACCUGAUCGAAAUCACCAAGCACAAUCCAAUUAUCAUUAACCUUGAUAAUUUCAAAAAAUUAGAUAAGUUUCUCCUAUACAAUGUUCCUCUCAUUCAUCUUUGGACUCCUAUAAUUACAAGUAAGAAAAAAUUGAAAAUUGUUGUCCUCAAUAUAACAAAAGAGCAUAUUUUCAUUAAAAGACAAAAUAGAACAAUUUAUGAUGUUACGCCACAUGAAUAUGGUACCUCCGUUAUGGCCUUUACAAUCAGUAGCGACAAAAUGAUCAAACUUCCAUUUAGACCUAAAAAAAUGAUUUAUAUAUUUUUUGGCUUUAGUUUUCAUAAGAAAACAACAAUCAACAUUAAAACUACUUAUAAGUUGGGAACAAUUGAACAUUGUUAAGGGAUUUCCCAUUCCCAUAACUUUCUAACUUAAGACUUUCACAUCUCUUUGGAAGGUUGUUCCAGGACAACCUACUUGAACCCAUCAAGAAAAAAAUAAUAUCCUUAGAAGAAAUAAGUGGAACAUAAGAAAAUAUAGUAGGAAGAAAUGGACCAACAACAUUUAUAAUAUUCAAAUCAACAUCAGAAGAAACAAGGUGAAGUGACCUGCCAUAAAAUGUAGUAGUUAAUUUGGUUUAUUCCUAUACUUAAGGAGCUUGUUUUACUAUGCAAUUUAGUAUUUUAUAUUACGUUUUCGUUAUUUUGUGUUUAGGAUUAAAUAUUAAUAAAAUAAGUAUUUUUAACACAUUUUGUAAGUGUUGUGACCCAUUAGGCUGACACAGGCCUUAGAUAGUGCUAAUAUGUUAAAUUGAGUGUGUAAGAUGAAGGAUUAUAGGCCUAAUUGACAUGGUAGCAAGGGAAAAGUGCUGCACAAACUUCUCAGAAUGUUAAGACAUGAAACAAACAAUAAAGGGAAAAUUUUACAUGUUGUGUUGCGCCAUGCAAGGGCUAUGGCACAACACAGGUCGACGUGAUGCCUAAGAAUAUCAAGGCUAUUUUUGUCAGUGCAAUCAAAUGUAUAUGAAGACCUGAGACGUACUGAAGACCUAAUUUGGGCUACCAACACUUCUAUAAAUAAGACAUUAGGGGUUUCAUGUAACUAAGUCAUCCUAGACGCACUAAAAAACCCUAGUAGUUUAGUAGUACGAUUAGAUUAAUUUUCUUUUGGCUUUUUAUAAACUGUUUGUUUUUUCUUAUUGGAAUCAAUUUCGAUCCAAGAGUUUAUUUAUUUUAGUUAAGUAUUUCAGUUUAUAUUUUCUUCGCAUUCGAUAUAUUUCAUUAUUCAAAUCAAUAGAUUUUCUACUUUGUUCUUCAUCCGAUAUCUAAUCCAUGAUUAUUCUAAUCCCGUUUCUCUUCCGAUUCAAUCAUGUUCUUCACAUGAUUUAUUCAAUUAAGAUUGAGGUUAUGAAUAACAUGAGUGGUUAAAUACCUUAGGGGAGAUUAAAAAGUGGAUGGGUACGUGAUUAAUGGAGGAUUUAGGGUUUUCCCAAGAGGCUUAGUUGGUGUAAAUUACGUGUUCUUAAACCCUAGGCCUGACGAUCCUAAGGAGUUAUCAUAGGCAAGACGAGGUCGAGAGAUAGGUCGAAUCAAGUAAAUCAUAAUUUAUUUUGGUUGAGAAAGUGCGGUCGAGAGAUAAGCGAGUAUGAACCAAUUGAUUAAUUAGUUAGACAGGGUGAACUUCUACAUAUCUAAUAGUCCUCAUGAUCUACCACAUAAGAUAGUCCUGGAAGACUUUCACAUAAGAUAGUCUUGAUGGACUUUCACAUACGAUAGUUUUAAUGGGCUUCCCAUUUAUGGUAAUGCCAUGACCAUGGACUUCCAUUCAUCCCAUUAAGGGCUCUAAUAUGUCCCACACAAGGGAUCUCAAUCAUCCUAUGAAGGGCUCUCAUACAUUUUGUAAGAAAAUAUAAUAUCGUACGUAGUAUUAAUAUGUUACUAACAAUGAUAAUGCAAUACAAUGUAGUAGCAAAAAUACCUGUGAUCAGACAGAGUUGAAAAUUAGAAGAAGAAUUUUAUUAAGGCCUAUAUGAAUAGUUUCCUUAAGAUAGAUUCAACUUUUCUUUGAUGCUUUGAGUAACGUUGGACGUCUGUUUCCUAGGAUAAGAAAACAAAUGGUCACAAUAGCAACACAACAAUAGUGAUCAAAAUGAAUUUAGAAUAAAUUUGUGAUAUUGAUGGUUUAUGAUGAUGUGUUUUUGAAAUCUCCUAACUUGGCUUUAUAUCGAUGAGAGGAAAUGAUUGAAGAGAUUUAGACCGAUUCAUGAAAAGUUUUGUUGAAAAUUAAUAGAUAUAAGUGAAUAGAGACAACAAAUGAAAAAAAUGCAAUAUUAAACCAAGAGAUACAAUUGUUCAAAAGAUACAACUGUAUGAAAAAAUGAAAUAUUAAACCAAGAUAUACAAUUAUUUUAUUUGAGCAUCAAUUUAUCAUUCAUCACUUAACAAUUAUUUUCCAACAAUCCCCCACAUAAAUGAAAUUGAUGGAUCAGCGAGACUUAAAGACUCAAAGAGGUGAUAGAUUCUACGUUCAAUAUUUGCAUAAGAUUGGUAGGCAUCAACCCUUGAACCUUCCCUUGUGAAAGUAUAUUUACUUACUAGUUGACUAGUAGACGCGAUGUCCUUGAAUUGGUUUGUCGUUUGUGUAAACAAUGAUAUUCCUCACGCAAAUACCUCCAUGGAAAGAUUUUUAGUUUUCAUCAGUAUGUUCAUAUAGCCAUGAACAUCCUCUUGGUUCUACAAGAGUUUAGAGAACUAUGCCCAAAUAGUCUCUUUGAAGUGACCCCACCUCACUCUCACCUAAGUGACUUAUGUUUUUUGUUUCACCAAAACAGGCAAUGGUAAUUAAAAGCAUUGCUUAACCUUUUCCACAUUUUAAUCACUGUUUUCAUCAUUGGAAUGGACUCGAGAUAAGAACCCCCACAGUGACCUCACAAGGUUUAUGCAAGUAGGUUAUCCCACUGGACUUAGAUUUUGGGAUCUCUAGUCAACUAGGUUGGGUUUUCCUUCACAUGGUACCUUAAAUAUUCAUGGGCUUUAGUCUCAUUCCUUUCGAUGUUUUAUCAACUUGAUCUUGGGUUAACCCUUUGGUUAGCGGAUCCGCAAUAUUAUAUUUUUAUCUUACAAAAUCAAUAGAGAUAACUCCAAUUCAAAUCAGCUGCCUAACGAUAUUGUGUCGACGACACAUGUGUCUUGACUUUCCAUUAUACAUUACAUUCUGUGCUCUACAAUUGUUGCUUGGUCAUCAUAAUAUAUGCAUAUUUUGGGCACAGACUUUGGCCAUUCAGAAAUAUCCUCUAAAAAGUUUUGUAAUCAUUCUGCCUCUUCUCCAGAUUUGUCUAGAGCUACAAACUCAGAUUCCAUUGUGGAUCCAGUUAUAAUCAUUUUCCUUGAGAAUUUCCAUGACAUAGCUCUUCCUUCCAAUGUGAAAAUAUAACCACUUGUGCCUUUGGUAUCUUGAAUAUCAGAUAUCCAACUGGCAUCGGAGAAUCUUUCUAACACAGCAGGAUCUCUGGAAUAAUGUAAUUCAUAGUUCUAAGUAUAUCUGAGAUGUAAGGUCCCGAAAAUAGGUCUAGUAGUUUCAGGUAAGUUUACCGGGUUCCGAGUGAAAAUUGAGAAUUAAUCAGGUUAAUUAGCGAUUUACAUUCUUAAUUAGUUAGCUUAAUUUCAUCUAAAAAAAUCGGUAAAUCAUAUUCCAAAAAAUAAAAAUAUUUUUAGAAAAAUUAAUUUUAUGGUUUAAAAUAAUUUUUGGGUAAAAAUAAAUAUUUUGGGUUAAAUUGGAAUUUAAAAAUAAUUUAAAAUGGGGGUUUAAUUGAGUGGUUUAAAAUAUUAAUUAAAUGGGACUAAUUUGAAAAACAAGGGAAAUCUGUAAGAGGUUUUAUAGCAAGUAAACCAUAUUUUUAGAAUUUUGGAGGGAAAGGAGCAAAUUGUAAAAUGAGGGAAAAAAGGGAGAGGCCUGAUGGUAAAUUCCCCAAAUUUUGAAAACCAAGUAGGGGUUUUUAGUUUUAAAAAUUCUAUAACUACCUUACUUUUCACUUAUUUUUCACAUGAAUUAAGAGCUUUUUAUCUUGUUUUUUUGCUUGUUUUCAGAAACCAAAUAUCAGAGAAGAGAUCUAAAACUUUUCUCUCCCAAAAUUCUCUCUAAAAUCUCUCGAAAUACUUUUCAAAGUUGGGCAAGAAAUCAUCCAAAUUUCUUCAAACAUUUUGAUUCAAACUUCCAAAUCAAUGACUUGAGUUUAAUUGAAGGUAAUAUUUAUCUCUAAACUUGUUUUUAAGUUGAUUUCAAUAAUUAUUUGUUAAUUAAAAUGAUUAUAAUGGAUUUUCAACUUUAAUUUCUUCUUUCUUGAACUUGAGGAUCAACAAUGGUGGAUCUUUAAUUUUAAGUUGGAAUCUAAAUAUUAAUGGAUGUCUAAGAUCAAAAUAGGUCUAAUAAGAGGUUUUUAAUCUUAAACCAAAAGAUCAAACACGUUUUAUGGAUCAAUUUUGAGAAAUUCGAAUUUGAUCAAGAACAUGGAUGAUUUUUUCCAGAAAAUUAUGAAAUGGAUUAAAUGAUGAAAUUAACACUUAGAAAUACAUUUCAUUGGACUAUUAAUGAAGAUUAGAAGUGGUUUGAGUUGCUGAAAAGGGAGUUUAGUUGAGGAAUUCCAUAUUUCGGCUUAGUUGUGCAACAUUGGUAAGGUAGUUUAGAGCAAUGAUUUGGAUUCGUAUACUUUAUCAAAUUUCAUGUUUCUUAUUGUUAUUUUUAGUUUUUAAUGCAUACUUUGUCUCCAUUAAAGCUCCACAUCAAGAGGAGGAAUGUGCAAAUCAGAAUUGAAGCUCAAACUUGCUUGUUUGAACCCAUUUUUGCAUAAAAAGCUAAGUAUGAAGGUGAGUGACAUUUAAGGCAAUUUCGUAAAUUGGCUUGAUUAUGUGUUAAAUAAAGGUUUAAUUGGUGUUAUUAAUGGCUUAAUUUCAUAUUGGAUGAUUGGAUUUGCAAAAAUAAGUUUUUAUUUUUUAAAAGAGAAAAAUGACAAUUAGUUUAACAAAUUGGGUAUUAUGCUUUUAGCUUGAAUAAAUUGUAUGGAAUAAAUUGAUAUUUGGAGCAUGAAUUGCUGAUUUAUUGAACAUUUGAUAAAUAUUUUCUAAUUGGUAUAUGAAUAUUAGGAAAAUGAUGUUUGCUAUGUUUAAUUUUAUUAAUGUUAAAAUUGCUCAGCAACAUGCAUUUUACUUGCAUUUUAACAUCCUAAAUUAAGUGAUUAAACAAUAGAUUUUAUGCCUUGUAUGUAUGAUUAUAUUGGCAACAUUGCAUGGUGAAUCCAUUUGAUAUAGUUGGCAUGCCAUAGGAUUUGUGAGUACCAACUAUUAUUUGUGAUAUUGUGAGCAUAAAGCUCUUGGUGGAUUGAUUUGUUUGGAGUAGAUAAGGGAGUGUUGAGCUUGAGUCUCCACUCAUCGAGUUAUUUGAGGCGCUAUAAGGGAGCGUGUGGCUUCAGCUUAAUCAAUUCGGAGGAUUGUAUUUGAUUUUUGGGAGUUCGGAGAUCCAUUUAUCCAAUGUAUGAUCACAUGUUUACUUACUGCCCUUGAUGUAUUAUGCCAAUAUAAUUGAUUGAUUGUGACAAUAUAAUUGAAUGUUUAAAAGAUGAUUUUACAUGCCAUGGAAAAAUUGAUUUCUAAUUCUUGAAAUAACAUGUGAUGUUAUGGUGAAAUGUUAAUAUGUUGUGAUUGGAAAUUUAAUGCUUAAUUGCUUUGAUUUAUGCAUGAUUGAGUGCAAAUUACUUGAUGUUUUUAUUAUCACUCACUGAGCUUUUUAGGCUCACACCUUUAGAUUUCGUGCAGAGAAUUUUCGAGUAUAAGGAGUUGAGAAGCGAGUGUAAGGGCGAUCCAAGAAUAAGGCUCGUCGUGGCUUAAGAAAUUUACUUUAGAGACUAUAUAGGGGCAUUGUGAUGCUUUUGGGACUAGUUUUAUUUUACUUGUAAUGGACAUUGGACAUUAAAUUUUGGACUUUAAUUUUGGUGAUUUUAUAAUUGCUUUAGUACAUGAUUUUAUGUUUAAUUGAUGUUUGAUUUAUGGUAUGUUGAUGGGUGUUCAUACAGUGGUUGAUAACACGGUGUAUGAAGCAGGUAUUUUAUACUAACAAUGUUUAAUUGAAGCUUACCAUGGAGUGUGCGACUAAGGUAUGUAGCUCGUGUGAAUUAAUUGAUGUUUGAUAAGCAUGUAAUUGGAUGUAAAAUUUUGAUUAAUUGUUUCAUAUUUGUUGUAAAUAAAUUAAAUUGGAGAUGUGUGGAUGUUUAUAGUAAUUAAGUGUAGCUAUUUCAAGUUUAAUGGGUAAGUAAAAUAUGUAAAAUCGGGAAAUUAAAAUGAAUUUUUGACAAAAUAAGUGCAGUGGUUUGCACAUGGGUGUGUGUCUUUUCACAUGGGAGUUUGGGGUUUUGGGGAUUUGAUUUUUAGUUUUUGUAAUCUAGUAUUCUAAUUUGCUUACUUUAUAAUUUAGUCCUAAAACUUGAUUAGAUUAAUUGAAGCCUUUAAUGAUAGGGAAACUUGGUAAUAUUUUAGGUUCAGACUUGUACCUAUUAAUAUUUGGUAGAAGAACUCUUAAUUUUAAAUUUGAAAAAUGUAAUAAAAUUUUGUAAAAGUUACAAUUUAGUCCCUAAUAAUAAAACUUGAAUUAGACAUAGUAAAUGAACUCUAAUUAAGCUGAAAUUUUUAGGGCUUGCAUAAUUUGACAAAUAGAAGGUCAGUAACUAUUAGAAAUAAAAUCAGGAUAGUUUAACCUUAGGUGAUAAAAUGACCAAAUUACCUUUAGGUUUAAAUACUUAGAAAAAGUUUAAAAAUGGUUCACAAAUUGCUUCAGCAUUAACAAAUGAUAGUUAAUUAGUCAUAAAUGAGGUCUUAUAAGGUUGGGGUGUGCAUCGGGUGGUCGUUAGCUGGAGAGUCGCUUCGGUGGCUAAUGUAGCGCUACAAACUCGGCCGAUCCAUUCCGGUUGGGUUUGGGAUGUCAAAUGAGAUAUCUUAAUACCCUCACAAUCGCUUUCCAAUGUUUUUCCCCUGGAUUGCUUGUGAAUAUACUUAAACUGCUUACAGUGAAAGCAAUAUCAAGUUUAGUGCAAUUCAUAAGGUACAUUAGAUUGCCUAUGACUCUUGCAUAUUCCGUUUGGUCAACACUUUCACCUUUAUUUUUGGACAGAUGUUGACUUAUAUUAUUGGAGUUAUAGCUACACCAAUCAUCCUUGCCAAAUUUCUUAAGAAUCUUGUCUACGUAGUGUGAUUGCGUUAAUACGAGACCUUUAGAUGACCUUUUGAUUUGGAUGUCCUAAAUCACGUCAGCAAGUCUUAUAUCUUUCAAGUCAAAUAUUGAAUUUAACAAGUUUUUGGUAUGUAUUACCAUUUCACCAUUUCAUUGUUACUUCCAACAAUGAGUAUGUCAUCAACAUAUAAACAUAGAAUUGCAUAUCCAAUAAAGUGAUUUUGACAAACACACAUUUGUAACACUCAUUAAUUUUAAAUCCGUUUGGUAUCGACACUGUCAAAAUUUUCAUGCCACUGUCAAAAUUUUCAUGCCACUGCUUCGGUGCUUGCUUAAGUCCAUACAAAGACUUCACCAAUCUAAAGACUUUUCUUUCUUUCCCUGGAGCUACAUGACCCUCAGGUUGUUCCAUGUAAAUCUCCUCAUCAAGAUCUCCAUUUAGAAAAGUUAUCUUAACAUCCAUUUGAUGAACUUCUAGAUUCCACAAAGUGGUAAUUGCAAGUAUCAUCCUUAUAGAAGUUAUUCUUGAUACAAGAGAAAAUGUAUUAAAGUAAUCAAUGCAUUCCUUUUGUUUAUAACCUUUUAUAACCAAUUUUGUACCAUCCCAAUUUUGGACCUAGUUAGAACAGUGGUUUCGGGACCACAAAUCCAAAAUAAGAAAAUGCAUUUUUAUUAUAUUUUUAUGGACUACAGUUUUACGGGAUGAUUUCAUGAAAAUUUCGUUCGAAAAUUUUGACGUUUGGGCAUCCAAUUUAGUCAAAAGGACUAAAUUGUAAAAAGUGAAAAAGUUAAGUUCCACAUGUUAGAAGGGUUAAAUUGUUAUGAGUUUUUAAAUUAAAGGGCGUAAUAAAAUAUUUUUAAGUUAGUGAUGGACAAUAAAUAGACAUGAAAUGGGCGUAAUAAAAUAUUUUUAAGUUAGGGGCAUUUUGGUAAUCUAAUAAUUAAAAGAAUUAAAAAGGGAAAAUAAGCCAAAAUUGGCCAUCAUAUUCUCCAUUCAUCUGAAACUUGCAUGGACACCAUGGCUAGGUUCGAUUCAAGCUGCCAAGCUCAUUUGUAAGUGAUCCCGAGCCCCAUUUUUAAUGUUCUUUACAUUUUUGAAGUCUCAAUAACUCGAUUUACCUAUUUCUACCAUUAAUUUGAGCUAGGGUUCAUGUUUAAAAAUUGACCCAUGCAUGACAUGCAUGCAUUUUGAUGUCUAAUGGUAGAAAAUGAGUGUUGGGUGUUAAAUAAAUGACUUUUACUAAGCGGUUUUCGAUGAAAAUGUUCGAAAGGACCGUUUUGUAAAAGUUGUAAAAAUGGCAUAAAACGGUAUUUUGAUGAGAAUUGUAGUUUUCUAUAGUUAUGAAAAUGGUUCGGCUAGGCCUAUAUAGUGAGAAAAUUGAAUAAAAAUCACUUUACGAGCCUAGGGGAAAAAGCAUAAUUUUGACAAAGUUUAGGGGCAAAAAUGUAAUUUUGCCAAAAUAUGAUUUUUGGAUCACAUUAAAUAACGUGAGUAAUAAUUAGCCUAAAUGGGAUAUUAUAGAUUAAUAAAAACAAGGAUUGGACCUAGAUCAGGUGAAAAAUGGAAAAUCAACGGUUAGGUUCCUUUUUGCUAUUUUGGUGCUGAGGAAAGUUCGUGUGUCAAUAAUAUUGCAAUGCUAUGUUUGAAUUGAAAAUUCUAGAUUAUUAUUGUAUGAAUGACAUGAUUUAAUAUAUUGAAAAGUGAUGAAAUAAUGAUAUAUAAAAUUUGUAAGAAUAAUGAUAUAUGACUAGUAGCACAUGAAAUGUUGGAUGGUUAAAUCAUUAAUGGUGUAAUAUCCCGAAUUAGGGCCUAAUCAGAAUAGUGGUUUCAUGACCACAAACCUGAGAUAGAAAUAAUUAUUUUAUAAUUAUUUUGAGAUUUAUGAUAUGAUUGCAUGAUUGUGUGAAAAUUUCGUGAUGAAAUUCUAUGCCUAAAGUGCUUAAAUUGAAAGUAGGGACUAAAUCGAAUAAGUUGCAAAACUUGCAUUCUAGAAGUUUUUAGUAUGAAAUUAUUUUGGAAUAUUAAUGAGGAGGUCUUAAAUAGCAAUUUGACCAAUUUUAAGUUCCUGGACAAAAUUAGGACAUGGAAGGAAUUUUUGGAAAGUUUAGUAGUAAGGGUAUUUUGGUCAUUUAGUUAUUAAAAUGAAUUAAAAACAAAAUUAAAAGCCAAUUUUUGUCCAUCUUCUUCAUUAGGCCGAAAUUUCAAGGGUUCUCCAUAGCUAGGGUUUGUUUCAAGCUUCCAAGCUUCAUAGUAAGUGAUUCUAAGCCCCGUUUUUAAUGAUUUUUACGUUUUUGAGAUCCCGAUAACUCGAUUAAGUUUAUGUUAGCAAUAAUUCAAUCUAGGGUUUAUAUUUGGAAAAAUACCCAUAGGUGAAAUUUUUGUAUUUUGAUGUUUUAUGAUAGAAUAUGGGGUUUUAAAUUAUGUUAGAAAACUUGUGCUACUCGGUUUUGAGUGAAAACGAGUAAAAGGGCUUAAUCGGCAAAAAUACCUAAUAGUCACAAGUACAUGUUAGAGUGAGAAUUUGAUGUUGCCAUAGAAGAGAAAAGUGGUCAGCAUGUUGUAAAACAUAAGAAUAAGGAAUAAAGUUUAAUCCCGAGCCUAGGGGCAAAAAUGUAAAUAUGCAAAAGUUUAGGGGUAAAAUUGUAAUUUUUCCAAAAUUUGAGUUAAAAAUUAAUUUGAUAAUGUGAGUAUUAAAUAAGCUAAAUGUGUUAUUCUAGAUCAAGAAAGACGUGGAAUCGACCUCAAUCGAGGAAAAGAAAAGAUUGUGGACUAAAUUGCAAAAUCUUUGUAUUUUGGUACCAAGGUAAGUUCAUGUGUAAAUAAUGUAGCAUAAUUGUUAUUUUUAAGUUAUUGAUGUUAAUUAUAUGUUAUGCUGAAUUUUAUUAUGAAAUGUAUGCUUUGUGGUUAAUUUCAAAUAAUAUGUAAAUUAUGUGAGCUACUUGUUAAAUAUAAUUGUUACCGAGUAUUGAUUUCGGCAUUCUACGGAAGACGGCAAGGAUAAGUGUUCGAGAAAAAUCCCGUUUGAACCUUAGGAAUAGAUUAGGAUACAAGUGACAUGUCACUAGAAUGGUUGAGCAUCCGAACUCGUUGAGUUGAGUCCGAUUUCACUUAUGGAUGCGAAUGUCCGAACUCGUUGAGUUGAGUCCGAGUUCGUGAGAUGUAACUAGGCAUCCGAACUCGUUGAGUUGAGUCCGAGUUCACUUAUGGAUGCGAACGCCCGAGCUCGUUGAGUUGAGUCCGAGUUCACUUAUGGGCGGGUUACAUGAUUGCUUGAUUGAAUAUGUGGCACUUAUGUGCAAUUUAUCCGUGUAUCCGAAUUAUAUUCCGAUGUGUUCAACGGGUAAAGUUCUACUCAAUGGAGGAAUAUUCGAGAUGUAAAGAGAUGUAUUGGUAAGUGAUGUGAAAUGGAUAUUUUGGACAGGUAUGUAUUUAACCCUCGGGUUGAGUAUUGAUACAACCACUAUAAGGUAAUAAGAUGAUGAAAAAUGAUUAGAAAUGUGAUAUGUGUUUUAGUGAUGCAUGCUAAUGUUGAUUGGUAUGACUGUUUGUUAUGUUACUUAUUAUUUGCAUAUGAACUUACUAAGCAUUUAUGCUUACUCCCUCCUUCUUACUCAUUGUAGUUUUGGACAAGCCAGCUCAGGAGUCGGGAUAGGUCGAAGGCUCAGUCACACUAUCCGGAAGACUUUUGGUAAAUGGCUUGUAAAUUUAAGUAUGGCAUGUAUAGCAAUAUACCUAUUUUGUGUAAAUGAUCUUAUGGUAUGGUGAUGGAAUGGUUGAGGAAAUUCUUGAUAAUGAUAAAUUAUGAAAAUGGUUAGUUUAGAUUAUGUUUGAUGUUAAGGAAAAUUAUUAAGAUACUUAGUGCAUAAAAACUCAUAAAAAGGAUGAAAUUUGCCAUAAACAGAAUACUGCAGCAACACUGAAGCGAGUUUGAAAAUUUACUAAAAAUCAUAGAAAUUGAAUUUGGUGAUAGACUACAUAUCAAAUUGAAGCUUAUUAUGUAUAGUUUCACAUGAAGCAAAUGAAACAGGUAAAGGAAUUAUAUGUUAGAAGACAUUUGAAUUUUAGUGAAACACGGUCAUAGCAGUUUCUAAAUCCCCUGUUCCAACUUUAGAAAUUCACCAUAAAUUAUAAAGAUAUAAUUAGGUGGUUUAUUUUAUAUCCUCAGAAUCCUUAUUGAGUCUAGUUUUAGUAGAAACAAAUAUCAUAGUCAUAUGAAUUUUUUACAGAGAGAAAUGUGGUUCGUAGUAAAUAGAGGUCGGACCAGUCAAGUCCUGAAAUAGGGGUAACUUUAACUAAUAAACUGUACUAAUUGGCCUAACCAAAAAUUCUAGAAAAAAAUUAGUAAAUAGAUAUAUGAGUCUAGAUUUAGGAAAAAUUUACGGAUCUUUAUUUCAAGUUUCAUAACUCAAGAUAUGAUUUUUUUUGUGACUGUGACGCAAGUAGCUUAAAAGCUAUGAAUGUAGAAACAAAUAAUCCAAAGUUCUAAGAAUGUUAAAUUAAGCUUAGUAACACCUCAUACUCGACUCCGGCGUGGGGGCGUUACAAAUGGCUUGCUAUAUAAUAGCUGAAUAUAUUUAGAAUUUGAUAUAACAUGAUGUUUUAUUAACUUGGAUAAUUUGUGAAAGAAUGAAAAAGAAGGUAAGUCCAUUUGCAAGUAAAUACUAUGUGUGAGGUAUGUUAAUUACUUAAAUGAUGAUUAUAUGAUAAAUGUAUGCUCUUGAUAAGAAUAUGAUUUGAAUGCUCAAUGUAUGAAAAAUUUAUGAAACAUUGACAUGAUUGAUAAUAAGAGGAAGAAAAAUCUUGGUUGAAUGAAAUAGGAUAUUCGAUGGAUUCUUGAAAAGAAUUGAUGGUAAAAAGAAUCUAUCCCGAACGGGUGAUCCAAUCCCUAUAUAGCCCUCUCGAAGAAUAUGUGUAAACUUAUUUAGCUCAGAUGGGUAAUCCGAAUGAGGUUCUGAAUUUAGCCUGGACUGGUAAUUCAGAUUCGAUCUCAUUUGAGUAUAUGUCAUUGUAGGGGAUUUAGUCUGGACUGGUAAUCCAGACAAUACUCUAUGAGUUUAUAUUACAGGGGAUUUAGCCUGGACUGGUAAUCCCGCUGUAAAAAAGGAGGUUUGUGGGAGUGUGCUUUUUAGAAAGGGAAAUUACAAAUUGACGGACAUGAACUUGUAAAGUGAUCUAGCCUCCCGAAGAAUAUGUGUGCAAUAUGAAUUUAUCCCAAACGGGUAAUUCGAUUAGGGUCUGAAUUUAUCUUGGACUGGUAAUUCAGAUUCGAGCUCAUGAAAGUAAUUUUCGUUACAGGGGAUUUUGCCUGAAUUGGUAAUUUCGACAUUUACUCUAUGAGUUUGUACUAAGGGGGAUUUAGCCUAGACUGGUAAUCCCGCCAUAAGAUGCGAGGUUCGCGAGAAUGCGUACUUGAAAUGAUCAUUUGUACGAUUUGACGGUACAUGGGAUAUCCAUCGAAAUUUCUGAGAAAAUUCAACGGAAUUAAUAUGAGAAAUGAAGAAAAAGGGUUUUUCCGAGACAAACUUAUUUUUGUUAUAAGAUAAUACUAUGAUGCAUAUGAUUGCCACGUUUGGACGAGUGGUGGUGCUAAGAGUAGCAUAGGUACAUACUCGAACCGACGUGUUGGACAUGGGAAAUGAAAUGGACUUGUGGUAAGAAUGAAAAUAAAUGAGUGAUACAUAUGAGAAUAAUUUUUAUGGCAAUCUUAUGAUAGUUAUCAUUGUAUUGCACUAAAACAGUUUUGGACAGCAGCAAUAGUACAACUUUGAAAAUCCACCAAAAAUUGUGGAAGUCGAAUUAAUGGCUGAAUUAAAUAUGAAAUGAAAGCUUAUUGAGUCUAGUUUCACAUAGAAGAAAUGGUAUAAGCAAAAGAAUUUAAUAUUAUGAGAUAUUUGAAUUCUUUUGAGAUAGAGUUAGAAUGAGUUCGGAAUCCCUUGUUCUGACUUGGGAAAAUCACUAGAAAUUAUACAAAAAUAAUUAUGAGUUAGAAUUCAUAUCACUAAAUCCUUAAGGAGUUUAUUUUCAAGAUAAUCAGAUGGGAACAUCUCUCGAAUCCCGUACUAAGAUAAAUAAAUAUUUGUGAAGAAAGGUCGAAGCUGUCAAACAGUGAAACAGAGGAGACUUUAAAGAAUAAACUGUACUUAUUGGCUAGACAAAAAUUCGGAAUAUUUUAUGGUGAGAAGAUAUGUGAGUCUAGUUUCAGGGAAAAUUAGAGGAUCUUAAUUUGGAGUUCUGUAGUUCUAGAUAUAAAUAAUUUUGUGAUUGUGACUCGAGAAAAUAACUUAACUGGACUUUGAAUAAAUAAAGAGAAAUUGAAAAAUAGCAUGUUAAUACAUUGCUUAUUAUUUUUCAUACGAGCUUACUAAGCGUAAAGCUUACUCCUUCCUUUGCUUUUCCUUAAUGUUCUAAGGUUGGCUCGGGGUUGGAAAUCGUCGGAGGUAGCAUCACACUAUCAAGCCAAUACCAUCGGAGUAUUAAUACAUAUGUUAGAAAUUUCAAGUGAGUGGCAUGUAUAGGGACCUAGUUUUAUGAUAUGAGUUAUUAUGAUUUGGCUAAAUGUAUUGGUCUAUAUCGAGCUAUUGUAUAUGGACAUAAGAUGUGGCUCAUAUUGAUUAUGGUUUGUAAGUCUAGCUAAUCAUGUCAUGUUUUAAUGCAUAUGAUGGGAUAAUUUGAAUAUGUUGUUUGACAUGCAUGUUUGGUAAUAUGAUAUAUGUGUUGGAUGUAUGCUCUAUGAAAAAUUGAGGUGGUCAUAGUCAUGAAGUAAUUGUACGUUAUGAAAACAAUGUGAUAAUGGUUGAACACGAGUGCUUAAUGGAUAAGUUAGUAACCAUAGUAUAAUGGUAAAAGUGGUCAUCAAUAUGACAAGUCUUAUGAAUGUGAAUUAAGGAAUCUAAACUUGGUAUUUCAUGAGUAGAUGUAUUCCAUGUAAGAGGACAUGUAAAUGAUAUGAAUAUGUCUUGAUAAAGAGUGUUUAAUCACUAAAGUGAAGCCAUGAUUUGUGGCUUUAAUGCGUAUAAGGUUGUAAGGGUUUAUGGGUAACAUGAAGACUUCAAAAAUAGCCUAAGUAUUGACUACACAGGUUGAGACAUGGCCGUGUGUCUCAACUGUGUGAGGGACACAGCUUGGUGACAUGGGCAUGUGGCCCGGCCGUGUGGUUCAAUUUGUUGAUGAUGCUAUAAACAGAGAGUUACAAGGGCUGAGGACAAGGGCGUGUUGAUGGCACACGAGCGUGCCCCUGUGUCCACACGGGCGUGUGACCCUAUUUCAUGGGGAAAUUUCUUAAGUUGUCCUGAAACUUCCCAAAGUUCUUGGUUUAGUCUCAGACCAUUUUUAAUGCAUGUUUUGGGCGUCAUAGGCCCAUAAUAGGGACACUAUGAAUAUUUUAGAUUGGUUUUAAUUUGGAAUGAAUUUUUAUGGCCCGGUUUGCAUGAUUGUUGCAUUUAAGUUCAAUAAUGCCUCGUACCUUGUCCUGGUCUCGGGUACGGGUAAGGGGUGUUACAAAUUUUACCUUGUACUUAUCAAUUGUUCAAUCUGCUUUCAUUUUUUGUUUGAAAAUCCAUUUAGAAUUUAGUGGUUUAAUUCUCCGAGGUAGAUCCACUAAUUCCCACGUAUGAUUUUUCAUGAUGGAAUCAAUUUCACUCUUGAUAGUAUUUUUCCAAAAAAAAUGGUUUCAGAUGAGCAGAAAGCUUCACUAUAAGUUCGAGGUUUAGUCUCUAGCAUCUAGGUUAGAAAAUCUGAUCCAAAGGACUUUUCCACCCUUACCCGUUUACUUCUUCUUGGCUCCGCCUUGACUUCAACCUUUUGUUGAAAGUCUUGACUAUCGAUAGUCUCUGAAGUUUGUUUAGAUGAACUUGACCCAUCUAUCCAUUUACUCUAGUCUUACAAGGGAAUAUAUUUUCAAAGAAUGACGCAUUUUUAGAUUCCAAUAUCGUAUUCUUGUGAAUUUCAGGAUUAUUUGGUUCAUGUACAAGAAACUGAUAUGCAUUGCUGUGGCGUGCAUAACCAAUGAAAAUACAAUCUAUCACUUUAGGACCUAUUUUCAUUUGCUUUAGCAAAGGAACCAUUACUUUUUCAAGACACCCCCACACUUUUAAGUAGUUGUAGAAAUGAUUCCUGCCCUUUCAUAAUUCAUAUGGUGUCUUGUUCUUUUUCUUGCGGGGCACCUUAUUUAAAAGGUAAUUUGCUAAUAAAACAACUUCCCCCUAUAUUUUUUUGUAACAACCCAUAACUUUCUAGCAUUGCGUUCAUUAUUUCCUUUAGGGUUUGAUUUUUACGCUCUACUAAGGAGAGCACGGUGGUGUCACUUCAUGAAUAAUACCAUAUUGUGCACAACAUUUACCAAAUAGUUCAACAUAUUCACCAUCCCGGUCACUUCUCACCCUUUUAAUUCUUUUAUUAAUUUGGGUUUCAACUUCCUGCUUAUAGAGAACAAAUUUCAUCUUUGCUUUUAAGCAAUUAUACAUAGCAAUAUUUUGUGCUAUCAUCAAUGAAGGUAAUAAAAUAUUUAUUCCUUCCUUUAGUUUAAAUAAACUUUAAGUCAAAAAGAUCACUAUGUAUUAGAUCAAUUGAUUCGGUAUUUCUUUCAAUAGAUUGAAAUGAAGACCUUAUUAGUUUUUCCUCAACACACGUUUCACAUUUAUGAUUAUAAAUAAUGUGAAAUGAAGGAAUGUGCUCUAAGUUAAUUAAUCUACAUAAAUUAUUAAAAUUAACAUGUCCAAGCCGACCAUGCCAUAACUCAAAUGACUCAAGCAUAUAAACAGAAGAAGAAGCAUCAUUCUUAUUCUUAGUAUUAGCUUUUACAGAGAUAUCAUUGAGUUUCCACAAAUCAUUUAAUACACAUCCUCUCCUACAAAUGUCCCCCUUUUGACAAAACUAACUUCUGGGAUUUAAAUACCAUCCUAAAUCCAUGCAUACUUAGGAGGGUCCUAGAGACAAGAUUCUUGUAUAUGUCAAACACAUAUAACACAUUCUGAAGUUUCAAAUCUUUUCCAGAAGUCAACUUCAAAAUCACAAUGCCUUUCCCCUUGAUCUUCAAAAUAAAUCUUCGACAUGAGGUUGAUCGGUUAAUUCAAUAAGAAAUGGGGGUUAGCGCUCGAUUUCGUUGGUCCCAUCCAAUUCAAGUGCAUGCAAUUGGAUUGUUUCCUUAUUCAAUGAAGGAAUUUUUAAGUUCAACCAACCUAUUUUCAAAAUAGGAAGUGGAUAAAUAAAAAUUUUGGGAGAGUCUUUCAUUUGUCCAUCAUUAUAGGCAACACCAUCCAUAUUAUCUGUGGAAUUCAAACCUGAACUCUAUAUAUGAUUCCUUAUUUCUAUCUCAUUAGCCUUGUUUCAAUUUCAUUUCAUAUUUUAUUUUAGCAUAUCGAUUUUUUUUACUUUACGUCCAACCUCUCCCCCCUUUUUCCAUCUAUAUUCCCUUUUUUUUUCAUUUCAGGGCCGAAUUACGCCUGUUUUCACAUCUAGGAUUUACAUAUACAACAUAUAUUACUGUCAAGGGUGAAUUUCUUAUUUUAUUGAGCUUAUAAUAUAUAAUUCAUAUUAGAUGUUAGAAUAUUAAGUCUAUUAUAUAUUUAUCUAUUCUAUUAUAUAUAUAUUCUAAUAUAUAUUAGUAUUAUUUUUAUAUUAUUUAUCUAUUUCUUAUCUAUUUCUAUUUCAUUUAUUUCAUUUGCAUUUAGAAUUUUGAUUCAAAAAAAAAGUAAGGAAUUAUAAACUUGAAAAACACGGAUCGGGUUACGCCAUACAUAUGAAAGAAUAUAGAAUAAUGAUGUAUUUGGCGAAUCAAAUACCAUGGUCUAAUAAGGAACCUUUCGGAUUCGUUGAUAAUUUUUUGAAAGAUUUCUUUGAAAAGGUUUCAUUAACUUCUCAUUUAUAUCGAGUAGAUCUUGUUGUUGCGAGAAUCUUAAUUCAUGAGUUGUAGGGAGGGACUUAUGUCACCACAAACAGAGACUAAAGCAAGUGUUGGAUUCAAAGCUGGUGUUAAAGAGUAUAAAUUGACUUAUUAUACUCCUGAAUAUGAAGUCAAAGAUACUAAUAUCUUGGCAGCUUUCCGAGUAACUCCUCAACCCGGAGUUCCGCCUGAGGAAGCAGGGGCCGCGGUAGCUACUGAAUCUUCUACUGGUACAUGGACAACCGCAUGGACCGAUGGGCUUACCAGCCUUGAUCGUUACAAAGGGCGAUGCUAUGACAUUGAGACCACUCUCGAACCAUCACACGGAUUCCAACCCAGUACUAUUUGUUCCCUUGCUUUCUCUUCACUUUGCCGCUCAAAAAGACAAAGAUUUCAGUCUAAACUAAAGGGGUUGUGGGAUAUCUGAUCCCAACAUCAAAUCAAAGAUGAGAAAUUCCUUAAUGAGUAUGAACCUCUUUCGCGAGAAAAUAAAAUUUUUGGGGAAUAUUGGUGGGAUAACCUGGGCUUCCAGACCUUGAUCCGCUUGCCCCGAAAUGACCCGGCCCAAUAGGGAAUCCCAAUUCAUUUGGCCUUUCGAUACAAUCAAAUAGAAAGCCCCAAGGGCGCCAUAUCCUAGGAGCCCAAACUAUGUGAUUGAAUAAAUCCUCCUCUAUCUGUUGCGGGUCGAGUACUCCUUCUCCUUCCCCUUCUUCAAACUCCGAUUCGUAUUUUUCAUAAAGAUUUCUCUGAUCAAUGAUAGAACAAGAUCCAUUUUGCAUCAUAUAUAAGGGAUUCCCCGGCUCGGACCGAUCCCUUCUCUCGCUACUGGUUGAUCCCCAGAUCUACCCCUCCCCCUCCAUCAACUAAUCUUAUUCUUGGAUCUUGUUCGUGAAAUUGAUAAAAAUCAAUAUUUUUAUGUAUUUUUCUAAUUUCUAUGUGUAUUAAAUUACUAUAGUCUGAUAUAUUUCCUUCAUUUUAUUUCUUUUAUUUAUUGUUAUUGUUUUCUUUCUCAUAUUUCCUUCAGAUGAAUAUAAAACAAAAAAACUCCAAAGGCUAUUUUUUCAUUUCACGGGUCGAGAAAUCCACUUCGAAUCUUUUUUUGAUAUACAUAAAGUAAAUAGAAAAAGAUUCAAAGUUCCUAGUUUUCAAUCUAAUACAAUAUUUAAUAAUAUUAAAUUAAAUAAUAGGAGACUCAAAAUGAAAGUUUCUUUUUCGCACUCACUCUCCAUCACAUUGGUAGAACAAAAGUGUCAUAUGUAUCGAUAUAGAAAUAUUUGAUAUGUGAAGACAAAACUAGAAAGUUCAAAACAAUUGGGAUUUUUUUUGGAGAUUGGAUGCAGUUACUAAUUCAUGAUCUGCCAUGUACAGAAUGAAAACUUCAUUCUCGAUUCUACGAGAAGUUUUAUGAAAGCCUUUCAUUUGCUUCUCUUCGAUGGAAGUUUUAUUUUCCCAGAAUGUAUCCUAAUUUUUGGCCUAAUUCUUCUUCUGAUGAUCGAUUCAACCUCUGAUCAAAAAUAUAUACCUUGGUUAUAUUUCAUCUCUUCAACAAGUUUAGUAAUGAGCAUAACGACCCUAUUGUUCUGAUGGAGAGAAGAACCUAUGAUUAGCUUUUCAGGAAAUUUCCAAACGAACAAUUUCAACGAAAUCUUUCAAUUUCUUAUUUUACUAUGUUCAACUCUAUGUAUUCCUCUAUCCAUAGAGUACAUUGAAUGUACAGAAAUGGCUAUAGCAAAGUUUCUGUUAUUCGUAUUAACAGCUACUCUAGGAGGAAUGUUUUUAUACGGUGCUAACGAUAUAAUAACUAUCUUUGUAGCUCCAGAAUGUUUCAGUUUAUGCUCCUACCUAUUAUUUGGAUAUACCAAGAAAGAUGUACGGUCUAAUGAGGCUACUACGAAAUAUUUACUCAUGGGUGGGGCAAGCUCUUCUAUUCUGGUUCAUGGUUUCUCUUGGCUAUAUGGUUCAUCCGAGGGAGAGAUCGAGCUUCAAGAAAUAGUGAAUGGUCUUAUCAAUACACAAAUGUAUAACUCCCCAGGAAUUUCAAUUGCGCUUAUAUUCAUCACUGUAGGAAUUGGGAGAGUUUCUUCCCUUUCUCACAAGGAACCAACUAAACAAAGGAGUCCUUGUCAUAACAAAUAUGAUGUGUGGCACUAGUAUCAAGCCACCAUUCUCUUGGAUUUGAAUCAACCAAGUUGACUUCAGAAAUCAUGGUGCAGAGGUCGAGAUCAGAUUCUUCCUUAGAAAUAUUUUCCAUAGUGUUGGCCUUGUCUGUUCAGAUCUUCUUUGGAAUCCUACAAUCAGAUGACUUGUGUCCUAUCUUAUUUCAAUUAAAGCAUUUUCCUUGGAAUUUUGACUUCUUGAAGAUACCGCCUUUUGGUCCUAGUUUAAACCGAGUCUAAGAAUGUUUUCUUUUCUUGGAGUCCUUCUUGACUUCCAUUAUGUUUUCCUUGGCAAAGUUAGGAUCAUUUGCUUUGUUUAGCCUUUUAGUUGCACCUCAAUUGUAUUAUUCAAUUUUAAGUUUGACAAUAAGAUCUUCCACUGUCAUUUCCUUUCUCGCAUGCUUAAGAUAGUUAUUGAAGUCAUUCCAAGCAGGGGAAGUUUUUCAAUAAUGGCUGUAACCUGAAAGGAUUCACUUAUAUCCAUCCCUUCUGCUAGAAUACCAUGAAUGAUCAAUUAGAAUUCCUGCACCUGAUUUAUAACAACUUUAGAAUCAACUAUUACAAAGUUUAAGAACUUGGCAACUAAGAAUUUCUUAGCACUAGUAUCGUCAGUUUUGUAUUUAUGGUUUAACGAUUCCCAUACAAGAGGCUCUCAUAUACUGGUGUGCAUCGUUCUCCGAAGCAUUUAAUCUCCUUUCCUAACUUAGUCCAACCAAACCUCCCUCAAAGCCACAUAAAUAUAAUGCAUAUGUAACCCAUGUAUAAACAUUCAAACCUCCUCAAAGCCACGUAAAUAGUAUGCAUCACAUACACAGACCCUCAACCAAAUAUUUACUAUUUAUCACACGCCAUAUAACAUGCCAAUCAUUCUAUUGAUUGGUCAUAAUCAUACUUACUACCAAUCAUUCAUAUCAUUUCAAUAUGCAACAAUGCAUUAUGCCAAACAUUUUAUUCACUUAACACAAUUAACUCACAAUCAUUUUGAAAGUGCAAACCACAACACAUACAAUCACCAUACAUCAUUAAUUCGCCAUAAUAUACUCAUGAUUUGCAAGCUCAUUACGUACUGCAUGCAACAUGACACUUUUACUCACAACCAUAGAAUGAUUUAUCAUUUACAUAAUACUGAAUCAACCAUUUUUAACACACAAUAUUCAAAUAGGAAAAUCCAUUUAAGAUAUGAGUUCUGAAACUCACUUAGAAGUUGUCACCAAAUUCAUUUUCUAAGCCUUUUCCUUGCUACACGAGCCUUCGUAGUCAAUACAACACAACAACCAUUUCAAAAUCGAACUGAGACCAUUCAUCAUCAUAAAAAAAUAUAAUUCUUUUGUAGGUAGAGACCAUUUAAAUGAUUAUUCAUCUCUUUACCCAAACAUAAUAGAAUCAAUAGUCAACCAAAAUCCUUAACUACCUUCUAUUUCUUAAAUCCGCUAAUACAGACCUACAUGCAAGAAUUCCAAUUUCUAAGACUUAAACCUCAGUCUCUCCCAUUCAUUCAUGAACAUUCCUUAAUCUUUCUCUCUUCCGUGGCAAACUAGAGAAAAGAAGAAGAACAGAAAAAUAAAAGAAUCAUCCCCGGAGAAGAAUGCUUCUCCUAUAAAUAUAUAGUCCCUCCGUCCCUUUUCACCCAAACCAAUUCACAGCCACUUGGAAAAACCUUAAUCAUCAUGUCUCCCAAUAAUAUAUACUUAGUUCAUAACUAACAAAACUAUGGUUGAAGUCCAACCUUUUCCAAAAUCAAUCCGCUAAUUUAACAUUAAUUACAAAAAGAACCUGCCAGAUUAGAAAACUUCUCAAUUAAAUCCGUAAAUCACCUUUGCAACCCAAUACUUAACGAAUUUGAGUGUGACAUGAUUAAGGACCACGAAUGAUGUAUUAUUGUAAUUUAAUCAUGAUUGAUGUUUGAAUACAUGUGAAAAUGAUUAUUUUAUUGUGAACCUGAUUGUGGUUGCUUUGACAAUGAAUGUAGCAACAUAUAUAUUAGACCCAUCGAUUGGGUUGAGCAAGAGGUGUUACACUUAUAAUUAUUUAAUUGAAUCUUCUAUAAAUUUACACAACACUUACCACUAUCACUGUUAUGUUUUCUAAAGUAUUAUUGACAAUUUAAUCACUUUAAGACUUGUUCAUGGAACUCACUUAUAAUCAUUUAUGUGAUCACUUGUUCAUACUUUAUAUUUAAUUACUAUUUCUUAUUUCUCUAGUUUUAUUACUUGUUAUUUACUUCACUUGUCACAUAAUGAUUUCUAUCUCAAAAUCACUUACUCUCACACCUUACACUUUUGAAUAUUAUUUACUUUAGUCCUUCUUUUAAACAUAUUAUAUACACUUAACUUAUUAACACUUCUACUUUCUCAUGUCACAAAAUAAAUCACUUUUUUUAAUUAUUAUAAUUUCCAAAUAUUAAUUUUUUCAUGAAUUCUUUUACACUAAUAUUAUUUUUAAUUAAUUUUCACAUUCUCUGCACUUAAUUUAUAGCAUGUUUCAAUUUAAUCCUUUGAUAAAUAAAUAGAGUUCAUAUGAGUAUUUAACUCUCUUGGCUAGAUAUCAUUUACUUUGCUUCACUUCUCUUUCUUUUAGACCUUUUUCAUUUCCAUUCCUUUUUCUAUAAUACUUUCAUUACCUUUUUCUCUUUUCUUUUGAUGAACACCUUAAGAAAAUAAUUAAAAUCUACACUAAGAAUCUCUUUCUUAUAUUUCUACUCCAAUUAAACAUAAAACCCAUCAGAAAAUAUAUUCUUACCAUAUCUCUUUAAUCUCUUCACUCUCUUUUCAACUUUUUUCACUUCUAACUCUAAAUUUCUUGAUUACAAAAUGCUAAGCAAGCUCUCUAAAGUCUCUACUUCACUUUUUCUUUUUGCUAGCUAUAGAAAAUCUCUAGAUUCUAAGGUGAAAUUUAAAGAAAAAUGACCAAUUUGUAAAGAAGCCAAAGCUUUUCUUUUUUUUUUCCUUCUCUUUUACAUUGGAAAAAAAUGGAAAAGUAUGGUAACAUUUCUCCAUCUUUCCAUAAUAUUUAUCUAUUAUAAAAUAAUUAAAAUAUUAAUAAAAACCUCAACUUUAUAAUUAACAUCCACAUUUUCCCUCAACAUCCAAGGGCCAUAAUCAUGACAACACUUUCAUGAAUUAAUAAAUAAAAUAAAAAUAAAUAUCUUUGAUCCAAUGGUUAGAAUUUCUUCUUUAUUUCCCAUAGAAUCUAAUAGCGAUAAACAUCGCAACAGUUCUUUUUUUUUUCUAUUUAUAAAUUUCAUAAUUAUUCAUUCCAACAAUAAUCCUUUUGCCCUUAAACACUCUAUAAUUCUUCCAUUGAGUAAUUAUCCACUUUUAGUAAAUUACACUUUUUGUUCUUCCCUUUUUUUCCCACUAAUUCAAUUUUAUCCUUUUGCAUUUUAAAUUUGUAACACCCCUAACCCAUAUCCGUUGCCGGACUAAGGUUAAAGGUAUUAUCAAACAAAUCGAAGCAUUUUGCAAAUAGUUUAAUAACUUCAUCCACAAACAUAGUCAAACAUCAUUAUAUUAUCCCUUAUAUAGGUCAUCAAGACCUUAAAUCAUGCUUUGGAAAGGGGUCGGGACUAGACCAAACUCAUACAAAAUUUUUCAAAACUUAAACAUUUUACAAAGUUGUAUAGGUCACACGCCCAUGUGAACAGGUCGUGUGCCUCACAUGACUUUAGACACGCCCGUGUGUCUAGACCGUGUCAAAACAGGACAUACAUACUGACUUGUCCACACGGCCACAAGACACGCUCGUGUGUGCGACCGUGUGGUCUGCUCAGGCUCAUUUCGAAAUGGCCCUCGAGCAACACGGCUGAGACACACGCCCAUGUCCCUGCUUGUGUAGGCCAAAAAAAGGCCAUUUACAAGGCCAACUUGCCACCAAUUAAGGGUCUUCCCUACAAUUAUCCAAUAGGCACAAAUUGCACAUCAAAUUUCAACCAUUUCACAACCAUUUAUACCAAUUCAUUAUCCACAUAUUUCAUGUUUGAAACACAUAUCAAAUUGUAUCAUUCCAUAAGCCAAAUACCUAAAAACAUAUGAUUUAUAACCUUAAUAUCCAUCAUUCAAUCUCAUGCAAUAAUCUUACCUUUUCUCCAAAUAAGCACAAUUCAAAAACUUACCAAUUUGACCAAUCUCUUUGCCCAUUCAUGAACACAUUAAACAUACCACUAUUGCAUCACAUAACAUUUACCAAAAUCAAGCCAUAAUUUCAACCAUAAUUAAGCCAUAUCAUAUGGUUAAAUAUACACUUCACAAAACAUAUUCAACUACCUCUAGCCUAUACAUGUCAUACUUUAAUAUAUACAUUUUCAAAAGGUACCAAAAUAUAGUUCGAUAGUGUGGUGACGAUCCUCGAUGAUCCCCGAGCUCUCGAUAGCUACGAUAUCUAUAAAACAAUGCAAACACACACAAAGUAAGCUUUCAAAAGCUUAGUAAGCCAUAUACAAAUAAACUUAUCAACUUAAGCAUAUAAACAUCAUAAAAUACAUAUACUUCAUCGCCAAGCUAACAUAUACCACAUAGUUCACAUAUAAUUCACAUAUUUCCAAUUCAUUUGCUCAUAUAACAUAUUUUCUCAUAAUUAUAUCAUAUGUUCACAAAGGUACAUGUGCUUAACUUUCAUUCUUAACAUAGUGUACAAUUCAAACAUACCUGAAUUGAAUAUGCAUUUCAUAUAAUCAUUCGUAUCUCGAAAUGCCCGUUGAAUCGUUCGGAAUCAUAAGGAUACGCGGAUAACUCGAAAAGCUCGUACAAUGUAAAUGUCCCAGACAUGGUCUUACAUGUAAUCAAAUUUAAUGCCACUGUCCCAGACAGGGUCUUACACAAAAUCAAGUACAAUGCCAAUGUCCCAGACAUAGUCUUACACGUAAAUCAUAAGUCGAUGUCAACGUCCUAAAUGUGGUCUUACACGAUAACACAUAUCGGAUCCUAUGUCAUGACAUAUGUAUCCUAACUAUUCCUAAGGUUCGUACAGGGCUUUUCGGACAUUGAAACUUUGUCGAUACUUUCUCGAAUGUCUUAUAUUCAAAGCAUAAAGACAUUCAUUAUUGUUCAAUAACAUAUAAGCAUAAAUAAACCAUUUCAAAUACAUUUAUUUGUAUAUAAACUUACCUCGUAUAGAUUCGGAUUGACAGAAUCAGCUACUCGACGACUUUAGACUUUCCCCGAUCUAAUUCUGUUUUCUUUAUUUCUUGAUCUAUAUAAAUUCAAAUUUCACUCUUUUAUUUACCAAAUCAUUCAAAUCAAUCCACAAACACACAUUUAGGGCAUUUUACAUAUUAGCCCUUACAUUUUCACAUUUUAACACUUUAGUCCCUAUUUCACAAAAUCACAAAAUACACAAAAUUUAUUUAUACUUAGCUGAAUGUUCAUAGUACUCAUACAAGUCCAGAUAUUUCAUUUAUUUCACAUUUUAGUCCCUCAAGUUACAAAUUUCACAAUUUAGCCCAUUUUACUAAAAUUCAUGAAAAAUUCAAAGGCAAAACCUAGUAAUCUAACACAUAUCUUUCAUAUACUAUCAUCAAACUUCACAAAGCUCACAUUAUAAAAAAUGGCAUAACUCAAAAUCAUCAAUAAAAUCAGAAAUUGAGACAUGGGCUUGUUAGGUUACUAAGUAAUGAUCACAAAAACGUAGAAAUUAUCAAAAACGAAUCAAAACACAUAUCUUAAUCAAGCAAAGUCUUUUUUGAACCCUAACUUGUGUUUAUCUUCUUAUUUUAUUUAUGUUUUUUGGCAAAGUGAUGAACAUAUGAAGAAAAAUUAUGUUUUGUUCUAUUAUAAUAGGUUUAUUUACCUAUUUACAAAUUUAACCUUUAUUAUAACAUUUAAUAAACACAUAAUAUAUGGUCAUUAAUGUCCAUUAACCCUUUAAAUGGUCUAAUUGCAACAUAAGGACCUUUCAAUUAAGAAGACAUAGCAAAUAAGCACUUUAACAAAUGGAAGGCCAUUUUUACAUUUUACGCGAUUAGGUCCUUUUAUCAAAUUGAGCACACAAACGAUUAAAUUUUCAUACGAAACUUUCACACAUGUCAAUUCACAUAUUAUAAGCACAAAAAAUAAUAUCAAAAUUUUUUUUGACUCAGAUUUGUGGUCCUGAAACCACUAUUCCAACUAGGGUCUAAACUGGACUGUUACAAAAUUUCACACUUUGAUCCUAACACUUUUCAAAACCUUACAAUUUAAAAUAUACUCAUGAUAAAUAUUUCUUAAUAUAUCAAACGUUUCAACUCCCUUAGAAAUCCAACUACCUCUUCUACUAACAUUGAUAAAUCACAUUUUAUUUACUUUGAAAAAAAUUUUCAUAUUUAGGGAUGUUACAAAAACGAGUAUUAGUGAAAGUAAAAAAUUUUCAUAUCUAGGGUUUGUUUCAAGCUUUCAAGCUCCAUAGUAAGUGAUUCCAAGCCCCGUAUAUGAACUUGGUAUAGUUAGACGUUUCAUUUUGUGUAUGGCAUGUAUAUGAACUUGGUUUCUUUUGAUAUGAUAUGAUCAAUGAAUGAUGUGUAAAUACUUGCUAGUGAUUAGCUAAUAGAAUGGCUGAUGAUAUACAUGUUUAAUAGUAUGUAUGAUUAAGUAGUAACUAUCACAUGAAAACUAUGAAAAAUGUGAAAGUAACUUAAAAAUGGAUUCAAGUAUCAGAAAUAAUGUUACUUUGAAAAUCACAAAAAAAAUUGUAGAGACAUGGUUUGAUGGUGAAUAAUAUAUGAAAUUAAAUCUCAUUGUCUCUAUUUUCAUAUGGAAUAAGCAAAACUGGUAAAGGUUUUGUAUUUUAUAGGAUAUCUGAGUUUUAGUGAAAUAGGGCCAGAGCAAUUUCUGGAUCCCCUGUUCCAAAUUUAGAAAUUCACCAUAAAUUUUACAAAAAUAAUUAGGUGGUGUAAUUUAUAUGGUUAGAAUCCUUAUUGAAUAUAGUUUUAACAUACAUAAACGGUAUAGUCAUAUGAAUUUUUUACAGGGAGAAAAGUGGUUCGUAGUAAGUAGAGGUCAGUGCAGUCAAAUUCUGAAAUAGGGGUAACUUUAACUAAUAAAAUGUACUAAUUGGCUAAGUAAAAAAUUCUAGAAAAACAUUAGUAGAUAUAUAUAUUAGUCUAGUUUCAGGAAAAAUUUACAGAUCUUAAUUUCAGGUUUUGAAACUCGAGAAAUGAAUUUUUAAGCAACCAUGAUGCAGAAAAAUAGUUUAUUCCGAAAAUUAAAAUAAGUGGUUUAGAGUUGUUUAAAAGGUAAGAUAAGUUUAGUAACACCUCAAGCUUGACUCCGGUGACGGUUUCGAGCAUGGGGGCGUUACAUUUAUUGGUAUCAGAGCAGGUUUAGUCGGUUCUCGAAACAGUUAGUGUGAGUAAAAGUCUAGCUAUACAUGCCAUACCUGUAUUUUGAUAGUGUGACGACUCCUGACGAUUUUUAAAUAUUUUGUUUUAUAGUAAUGGAUCCCGAGCGAGCUGGUGAUGAUGAUGUAGAAAGUAAUGCGCCUGAUCCUGCGGAAGGGGUAGCGCCAUCUGAGAAUAGGCCAGUAACAGUUGAUCAGGGAGGAGUGACUCGAGAAGCUCUCUUCCAAGCUUUGAAUGAUUGGUUUGCCGAGUUCGUUCGUACGAAUCCGGCAGUUAGACCUCCACCCCUUCAUGAUUCUCAGGCUACCCAUGUAGCUCAAGCUCCCCUUGUCACAGGUACAGUGAUAAGAGAAAAGCCACCAGUUGAUAGAAUCAGGAAACAAGGGGCAGAAGAGUUCCGAGCAACAAAAGAUGAUAAUGCAGAAAGAGCAGAAUUUUGGUUAGAAAAUACUAUCAGAGUCUUUGACGAAUUAUCUUGUACACCCGAGAAAUGUAUGAAAUGUGUAGUAUCACUUCUUAGAGACUCAGCCUACCACUGGUGGAAGACACUUGUAUCAAUUGUACCAAAGGAGAGGGUCACUUGGGAUUUCUUUCAGGAGGAAUUUCGUAAAAAGUACAUCAGUCAGAUGUUUAUUGACCAGAAGAGAAAGGAAUUCCUGGAAUUGAAACAAGGUAAUAUGACAGUGACCGAUUAUGAGCGCGAAUUUGUCAGACUUAGUAAAUAUGCUCGAGAAUGUGUGUCCACAGAGGCUAUCAUGUGUAAAAGGUUUGAGGAUGGGUUAAAUGAUAAUAUCCGACUGUCAGUGGGUGUCCUAGAAAUAAAAGAGUUCAUUAUUUUAGUUGAGAGAGCCUGUAAGGCAGAGGAGCUAUUAAAAAGAAAAGGCAAAGUUGAGACAGAGACACAAGAUACAAGGAAGAGACAGAUGAGCAGGUCAUUCCAGGCUACAUCCAAAAGGCCAAAGGAGUUUUCUACCAGAUCUAGUUUCUCAGCCGGGUAUUCUAGUCAGAAUAGAGGCAGUAGAUUUAAGGAUCCGAAGGCUCAGACCACCUUGACUGCGAGUGUAGGUAAUGUUAGACAGGGUAGAUCAGGGUGUCCACGAUGUGGUAGACUUCAUUAUGGUCCUUGUCAGGUAGGCGAAAAAUGUUUGUUAUAAAUGUGGUGCUCCAGAUCAUUUUGUACGAGAAUGUCCAGAGGUGGCUAAUCGAGAGAUAACACAGAGUGCUAGAUCCGAAAAUGCUCCUACUAGAGGUAGAUCACCGAGGCAACUGGGAGUAGGAGCAAGUAACAGAGGUACCUCAAGAGAUUCGGCUGUGAGACCAGAUGUUAGAGCCCCUGCAAGGACUUAUGCUAUUUGUGCAUGCGAAGAGGCAUCCUUCCCCGAUGUGAUUACGGGUACAUUUUCUCUACAUGAUAUUAAUGUCAUUGCUUUGAUUGAUCUGAGUUCAACUCAUUCAUAUGUUUGCAAGAAAUUGAUGCCUAGUAUAAGUAUGCCUAUAGAAUCUACAGAAUUUGUGAUUAAAGUAUCGAAUCUAUUAGGCAAGCAUGUAUUAGUAGAUAAAGUAUGUAGAAAUUGUCCUUUGAUGAUUAAAGGCUACUGUUUUCCAGCCGAUCUCAUGCUAUUGCCAUUUGAUGAAUUUGAUGUGAUUCUUGGUAUGGAUUGGUUGACUACACAUGAUGUGAUAGUGAAUUGUGGAAAGAAAUUUAUUGAGUUGAAGUGUGAAAAUGGUGAAACUUCGGGUUAAUUCAGAAGAGUCAGAUAGUUCAUUUCCAAUAAUUUCUGUUAUGUCUGCUCAGAAAUGUUUGAGAAAACGGUAUGAAGCUUAUCUUGCUUUUGUGUUGAACACCAAAGAUCCAGAAUUGAAAAUUGAAUCAGUGCCUGUGGUAUGUGAGUUUCCCGAUGUGUUUCCGGAAGAACUACCAGGUUUGCCUCCUGUUAGAGAAGUUGAGUUUGGUAUUGAGUUGAUUCCAGGUACCACACCCAUUUCUAUUACUCCUUAUAAAAUGGCUCCAUUGGAAUUGAAAGAAUUGAAAGCUCAAUUGCAGGAAUUAACAGAUAAAGGCUUUGUAAGACCCAGUAGUUCACCAUGGGGUGCACCAGUGCUAUUUGUGAAAAAGAAAGACGGAUCGAUGAGAUUGUGCAUAGAUUAUCGGCAACUUAACAAGGUAAUAGUAAAGAACAAGUAUCCAUUGCCUAGAAUUGAUGAUCUGUUUGAUCAAUUGAAGGGAGCUACUGUGUUCUCCAAGAUAGAUUUGAGAUCCGGAUACUAUCAGUUGCGAGUUAAAGAGUCAGAUGUCCUGAAGACUGCUUUCCGGACUAGGUAUGGUUAUUAUGAGUUCCUUGUGAUGCCAUUUGGCUUGACUAAUGCUCCUGCCAUUUUUAUGGACUUAAUGAACUGAAUUUUCAGACCGUACUUGGAUAAGUUUGUAGUUGUGUUCAUUGAUGAUAUCUUGAUUUAUUCUCAUGAUGAGACUGAGCAUGCAGAGCAUUUGAGAACAGUUUUACAGAUUCUAAGAGAUAAUCAGUUGUAUGCCAAGUUCAGCAAAAGUGAGUUCUAGUUAUGAGAAGUUGGUUUUCUUAGACAUAUUGUCUCAGGUGAAGGUAUUAAGGUUGAUCCGAGCAAGAUUUCAGCCAUUGUUGAUUGGAAACCUCCUAGAAAUGUAUCAGAAGUUAGAAGUUUUCUUGGUCUUGCCGGAUAUUAUAGAUGAUUUGUAGAGGGAAUUUCCAUGAUAGCUAUCCCACUGACAAGAUUACUGCGAAAGGAUGUCAAGUUUGAAUGGACUGAGAAGUGUCAACAGAGUUUUGACAAGUUAAAAGCAUUGUUGACUAAAGCUCCUGUUUUAGUACAACUAGAACCAGGUAAGGAGUUUGUGAUUUACAGUGAUGCGUCCAUGAAUGGACUUGGUUGUGUACUUAUGCAGGAAGGGAAGGUAAUUGCUUAUGCCUCUAGACAGCUAAAGCCACAUGAGAAGAACUAUCCGACACAUGAUUUAGAGCUAGCUACCAUUAUUUUUGCGUUGAAGAUUUGGAGACAUCAUUUGUACGGUGAGAAGUGCCACAUAUUCACUGAUCACAAAAGUUAGAAAUAUUUGAUGACUCAAAAAGAUUUGAAUUUGAGGCAAAGAAGAUGGUUAAAGUUGAUUAAAGAUUAUGAGCUAGUGAUCGAUUAUCACCCAGGUAAGGCAAACGUUGUUGCUGAUGCUUUGAGUAGGAAAUCUUUAUUUGCAUUAAGAGCUUUGAACACUAGUUUAGCCUUAUCAGAUGAUGGUUUUAUCUUAGCUGAGUUGAGAGCUAAACCGAUGUUUCUUGAAGAAAUUUGUGAAGCUAAAAAAAAUGACAGUGAGUUGUUAGCCAAAAGAGAUCAGUGUGAGUCAGAUAUAGAGUCAGAUUUUCAAAUCAGUUCUAACGGUUGUUUGAUGUUCCAAGACAGGGUAUGCGUACUGAAGAAUGAUGAGCUUAUUCGAAAGAUCUUACAGGAAGCACAUAGUAGUUCUUUGUCUAUUCAUCCAGAUAGUACAAAGAUGUAUAAUGAUUUGAAGAAAAUGUACUGGUGGGUAGGAAUGAAAAGGGACAUUUCAGAGUUUGUUUUUAGAUGCUUGAUCUGUCAGCAGGUAAAGGCCGAACAUUAGGUACCUUCAGGUUUAUUCAGCCUGUGCUAGUCCCUGAGUGGAAAUGGGAUUGAGUUGCUAUGGAUUUUGUGACAGGAUUGCCGUUUACACCGAGAAAGAAAGAUGCAGUAUGGGUUGUGAUUGAUAAGUUAACGAAGUCGGCUCAUUUUAUCCCAGUUCGUAUGGAUUAUUCACUUGACAAGUUGGCCGAGUUGUAUAUUUCAGAGAUAGUCAGACUACACGGGGUACCAUUAUCGAUCAUUUCAGAUAGAGAUCCAAGAUUUACUUCACGAUUUUGGAAGAAAUUACAGAAGGCUUUGGGCACUAAGUUGAGUUUUAGUACAGCUUUCCAUCCUCAAACCGACAGUCAGUCAGAGAGAGUUAGGUACUUGAAGAUAUGCUUAGAUGUUGUGUACUGGAAUUUCAAGGUAGUUGGGAAAAAUAUUUACCAUUAGUAGAGUUUGCCUACAAUAAUAGUUAUCAGUCGAGUUUGAAGAUGGCACCUUUUGAAGCUUUGUAUGGACGUAAAUGUCGCACACCUUUGUAUUGGACAGAGCUUAAGGAAAAUCAGAUUUACGGGGUUGAUCUAGUUAAGGAAACAGAAGAGAAAGUAAAAAUCAUCAGAGAUUGCUUGAAAGCAGCUUCAGACAGACAAAAGUCGUAUGCAGAUUUGAAGAGAAAAGAGAUUGAGUAUCAAGUUGGUGACAAAGGUUUUUUGAAAGUAUCCCUGUGGCAGAAAGUUCUCAGAUUUGGCAAGAAAGGCAAACUAAGUUCACGUUUUAUUGGACCGUUUGAAGUGAUUGAGAGAGUCGGACCAUUAGCAUAUCGGUUAGCUUUGCCGAUUGAGUUAGAGAAGAUUCAUAAUGUAUUUCAUGUGUCUAUGCUACGUCGUUAUCAUUCAGAUCUGUCACAUGUGAUUUCUCAGACAGAGGUUGAGAUUCAGCCAGACAUGACUUACGGUGAAGAACCGGUAAAGAUUCUAGCUCGAGAGGUAAAACAAUCAAGGAACAAAAGUAUUGCAGUUGUGAAAGUACUAUGGAAUAGACAUGGGGUAGACGAGGCUACAUGGGAACCCGAAGAGGCUAUGCGAAAACAGUACCCAAAUCUCUUCACAGGUAAGAUUCUCGGGGACGAAAAUCCUUAAAGGGGGGAGAAAUGUAACAUCCCAAAAUAGGGCCAAAACGGAAUAGUGGUUGCGAAACCAUAAAUUCGAGGUAUAAAAAUUUAUUUUAUUAUUAUUUUGAGGUUCAUGAUAUGAUUGCAUGAUUGUGUGAAAAUUUCGUGAUGAAAUUCUCUGCAUAAAAUGCUUAAGUUGAGAUUAGGGACUAAAUCGAAUAAUUUGCAAAACUUGCAUUCUAGAAGAUUUUAGUAUAAAAUUGCUUUGGAAUAUUAAUUAGGAGGGUUUAAAUAACAAUUUGACCAAUUUCUAAGUUCAUGGACAAAAUAGGACAUGGAUGGAAUUUUUAAAAGUUUAAUAAGGAAGGGCAUUUUGGUCAUUUGGAUAUUAAAUGAAAUAAAAAGGGAAAAAUAAUACAAAAUUCAUCAUCUUCUUCAUUAGCACGAAAUUUAAAGGGUUCUCCAUAUCUAGGGUUUGUUUCAAGCUUUCAAGCUCCAUAGUAAGUGAUUCCAAGCCCCGUUUUUAAUGUUCCUUAUGUUUUCGGAGUCCCGGUAGCUCGAUAAAGCUUAUGCUAACAAUAAUUUAAGUUAGGGUUCAUAUUUGGAAAAAUACUCAUAGGUGAAAAGUGUUUAUUUUGAUGUUUUAUGAUAUAAUAUGAGGUUUUAAAUUAUGUUAGACAACUUGUGCUACUCGGUUUUAAGUGAAAACGACUAAAAUGGCUUAAUCGGUAAAAAUACCUAAUAGUCAUAAGUACAUGUUAGAGUGUGAAUUUGAUGUUGUCAUAGAAGGGAAAAUGAUCAGCAUGUCAUAAAACAUAAGAAAAUAAGAUGAAGUUUAAAUUACGAGCCUUGGGGAAAAAGUGUAAAUAUGCAAAAGUUUAGGGGCAAAAAUGUAAUUUUUCCAAAGUUUGGGUCAAGAACUGUUUUGAUAAUUGUGAAUAUUAAAUAAGUUAAAUUUGCUAUUAUAGAUCAAGAAGAGCAAAAUUCGAGAGUAGAUCGGGGAAAAGAAAAAGUAAAGGACUAAAUUGUAAAGUUUAGUCACAUUUUGUAUCGAGGUAAGUUUACAGUAAAUAAAUGCAAUAUUCUUUUAUUUUACAUUAUUAUUGUCAAUUUCUAGCAUUUAUAUACUUAUUUUUUUGAGAAUAUUUAAAGUCGAAUUAAAGGCAAAGUGACAGAGAAAAAGCAUUAGGAAGCCCCGUUUGAACCUUAGGAAUGUUAGGAUAUUGGGGUUGACAGGAAAGGACAGGACAGAAAUGAGCCAUGUAAGUCCAUAUCAGAUAUAUGGCUUUGGAGACAGGAAUGAGCCAUGUAAGCCCAUCUUAGACAUAUAUAUGGCAUUGGAGACAGGAAUAAUUCAUGUAAGUCCAUGUCGAAGACAUGGCAUUGGCAGGAUAUUGAUAGACAAGAACGACCAUAGUAUCCUUAGUAUUCCGAGUGGUUCAACGGGUCAUUGUACACGUUAAAUUAUAGUGAAUUAUCAACAAAAGGGAAGGUAGAUUAUAUUUAUGAAUAGUGAAAGGUCAGGCAAGAAAGAAGGUAAGUGAGUAAAGAAAAAGGUAGAAAAUGAGAAGUAAAGAAAGUUUAUGAGGCUAGGUGACAUUAUGUAUAAUUAUUCAUCAUGUUGAAUGUUGUCAUUUAUUUACUUGUAAGCUUACUAAGCCUAGUGCUUACUCUCUUUAUUUUCUUUUUCUUAUAGAUUUUAUCAAGCCACUCGGGGAUCGAAGGAAACGUCAGAGACCCGAUCACACUAUCGAAGAAAUCACAUUGGUAUAGUUAGACGUUUCGUUUUGUGUAUGGCAUGUAUAGGAACUUGGUUUCUUUUGAUAUGAUAUGAUCAAUGAAUGAUGUGUAAAUACUUGCUAGUGAUUAGCUAAUAGAAUGGCUGAUGAUAUACAUGUUUAAUAGUAUGUAUGAUUAAGUAGUAACUAUCACAUGAAAACUAUGAAAAAUGUGAAAGUAACUUAAAAACGAAUUCAAGUAUCAGAAAUAAUGUGACUUUGAAAAAUCACAAAAAUAUUGUAGAGAUAUGGUUUGAUGGUGAAUAAUAUAUGAAAUUAAAUCUAUUUGUGUCUAUUUUCAUAUGGAAUAAGAAAAUCAGGUAAAGGUUUUGUAUUUUAUAAGAUAUCUGAGUUUUAGUGAAAUAGGGCCAGAGCGAUUUUUGGAUCCCCUGUUCCAAAUUUGGAAAUUCACCAUAAAUUUUAAAAAAAUAAAUAUGUGGUUUACUUUAUAUGGUUAGAAUUCUUAUUGAAUCUAGUUUUAAUAGAAACAAACGGUAUAGUCAUAUGAAUUUUGUACAGGGAGAAAAGUGGUUCGUAGUAAGUAAAGGUCAGUGCAGUCAAAUUCUAAAAUAGGGGUAACAUUAACUAAUAAACUGUACUAAUUGGCUAAGUCAAAAAUUCUAGAAAACAAUUAGUAGAUAUAUAUAUGAGUCUAGUUUCAGCAAAAAUUUACGGAUCUUAAUUUUGAGUUUUGAAACUCGAGAAAUGAAUUUUUAAGCAACCAUGACGCAGAAAAAUAGUUUAUUCCGAAAAUUAAAAUAAGUGGUUUAGAGUUGUUUAAAAGGUAAGAUAAGUUUAGUAACACCUCAAGCUUGACUCUGGUGACGGUUUCGAGCAUGGGGGCAUUACAAGGAAGACCGAUAAACCUUGGCACAUUAUUUCUAGGUUGGAUAGAGGCUUCAACAUAAGCAACGAAUCUGAGAAAAACUUCUUUGGCCAUGAAAAUUGUUGAAAGUUCAACAAUGAUCUUUUCAAAUUGUUUGGAUUUCCUAUUAGUCCACAAUACAUGAAAUCUUUCUCUGGCAUGUGUAACAGUAGCAUGAAUUUGUCUGUUGAUAGCAUAACUUAAAUCACCAUCAUCAUCAUUGGAAGGAACAAAGUCGAAUUGUGGGAUAAGGUUGUGUUGGAAAAAUUCAGUUUAAGAAAAUUUUUUAUUGUAACAGUAGAAGUUUAAAAAAAUUCUAAACCGAGCUGAUUUAUGAUAUUUAUAACAAAAUUUUUUUACUGAAAAGUACUUGUCUUUGUGCAAUACAAAUUUGAAUUGUUCUCAGCUUUCAACUGAACAACCUUCUUUGCUAUCAUCAUACCCUAAAUUGCCCCGAGUGUGAGCUCAAGCAGCAUGAAUCAAAUACAAAACAAGAAACAAUUUUAUUACUUUCAGUAGGAAAAUAAUUCUCUUUAUAGAAAUUGGUAGAAAUUGUAAUUCCCAAAAACUGGAAUUUAUUCGAAGAAAAUAAAUUCUCACUACAUUUUGGUAGAAUAACAAUAUAUGAGAACUUGUAUAAAUACCUCUACCAAUGCCAUCUCUUUAUAAGGAAAGAUAGGAGAGUCAAGGUUGAAUAAGAAUUACACAAAUAAUAUUUAUUUAAUAGAAAACACAUCCUUACUCUAAGUAGAGUAGGGGUGGGAAACACACUCUAGAUAAUAACACUAGGGUUGUCGCCCCCUUUCAUGUAAAAUGAGGGGGGUUUAGGUCUUUCCUGUAUUGAGUCUAAUUAUAUGUGCUUCUUGAACUUUGACCUAGGACUUUAUAAUUUAAUUCAACUCAAUAUUUAUUUUUUGUUUCCCAAAAUAAAUAUUAUUUAUUUAAUUAAUUUAAUUAAUCAAAUUAAGAAAAUUAAUUUUCAAAUUAAAUAAUUUUCUCAACCCUUCUAAUUCUAUUAAGGUCCAGAUAAUUUACCGUAAAAGAAUUUAUGAGGAAAUAUAUUUAAUUUUCAUAUUCGACAAAUUCAUAAUGACUGAUUGAUUUAAUUUCAUUUUUGAAAUUUAUUAUUUAAUUAUAAUUAAUUAAAUAAUAAUUUAGAAACCUCAAAUUAUUUCUCAAGUAAUUUCUAUACUUAGUGAGAAAAUGCAUUCAUUUGUGAAUGCGACUCAUUUCUCUAAUUUCAUUAUUUCCAUUCAUUUUAUUUCAUUUAGUUCUCUAUCCAAUUCAUUUCUAGUUUCAACGAGCUAGCAGAGGGACUGAUUUAACAUAUAUAAUGUAACACCCCAAACCCAGCCCAGCCAUUAUGGCCAAGUCUGGUGUGUCACAUUAAAGUGUUUUUCGAAAACCAUGUUUUCAUUGAAAACCCUUCUUGAUGUUUAGAAACUUUUGCCGUUUAAACUUGUAAACCUUUAUAGUGGCAGAAACAUGUUAUAUUAAAAACAGUUAAGUAUCGAAAAAUCAAACCUUCUUUGUUAUGGCUUAAAGUGAAUGGAUACUACGCACCAGGUAGGAUUCAAGAAAAGAGGAGGUGAGUCAAUUAGACUGCUUAAGUGUCUAUUUCUUCCAUGAUCCAAUCCUAGACAUGCACACAUCCAUUGCUACAGUUUAAGCUUAUUACUUGUCCACGAACAACAAAUUAAGUUUAAGUCUAUUUAAAAUAUUUAUUUCCUUUGAAAACAUUUACGUUGCGGAAGCUUUGCUCGGUUAUCUUGAUAUUUUGAAAAUAAGUAACUUUUAUAAAAUGCGCCCUAGAGCUAACCAAUUUUAAGGAAUCAAUUUAAGUGAUGUGAAUCUUAAGUUGAAACGAUUUAAGUAAUUUAAAAACCCAAAAUAAAAAUAAUAGAGCGGCCUUAUUACAACUUUAACCAAAAUAGAAUAAUAAAAAAUAAAUGCGAAAUUUAAAAGGAAGCUAAUUGAAAUUUAUUUAAAAACUAGAAAUUUAAUCUUCGUGGCCACUCUGAAUCCCGCUCAGCUCCAAGUCCACCAACUAGGGCUCACCUGCAAGGAUGGAAGAGAAGGGGGGUGAGUUUGGAAAACUCAGUGUGUAUGGAAAACCCAUCCAAAGCCCAAGUCAGCUCAAGCCCAUUGGGCCUAAGCCCUAUUCAGAUAACAGCGGGUACUGGGCCGAAGCCCUUUUCAGAAUACAGUAAACUAGGCCUUAGCCCAUUUUCAAAUAACAGUAUGGCCCAUAGGCCCAUUCUAGAACAGAACAGACAUAUUCGUGUAUGCAAGCCCAACCCAGCCUAUAACCAACCGCUACACUCCACCCGUACCAGCCCUACACUCCAUGUAGGGAAUAGCUCAACCCACCCAGCCCUACACUCCACAGUUGCAGCAUUGCUGCUCAGAUAUCAGUAGUUUAGGCAAAGCCUCCAGUACGUGGACAAGCCACUUUCAGUACUUCCUCCAUCAAUAACCCAGUCCCAUGCAUCAGAUGAUAAUAACAUGGCAUGCAGUAAAUAGUAACAGUCUAACAUGCAUUCAGGUCAACCUUAACCCUAGGGGUAAAUCUGUAAAUUUUUCACCUAUAAAGGUAUUUCAAUAGUUUUAUCAGUUUUAAGGGUUCUCAUGAAUGUUACGGUCCUUACUAGCCCAUUUGUCAUCGCAAUAAUUUAUUUAUCUCAAUUUCACAAUUUUAGCCAUUGGACCCUAAAACCCCUAAUGGGCCCUACAGUGUCCACUAGCAAUUUAAGCCCAUUUAAUUCAAGUUUUAUGACCACUUUACCGGUUUAAUCAGUUUCAAUUCUACAGUCUAACAGAACAUACUUAUUUCCUUUUUUUAUUUCUUUACCCGUAUGGGCCCGUAAGCCCAUUGGGCCCAGUUUUAGCCUCUCGAGGCCCAAUUACUGAAGUGCACGAAAUUUCACACACGACUAACUUACCACUUUGCGAUUUCAGAUCUAAUGAUUUCAAAAUGUCUUGUGAGCACUUGCACACUCACAAGCCCACGAAAUGCCAGAAUUUUGGUAUUUCGGCUUUUGCCGAAUUGAACUAUGAGAGGGUAUUCGAUACACACCUGAUUUAGAAUGGUACGUUGGUGAGAUCCACACACACGAACUGCCUACAAUUGGAUUACUACCACGUCAAUCUAAAUAUCAAAAACAAACUACAUUUUUAACCCCUUACCAUAUUCGGCCAACAAAGCCUUAGAUCCUAGAGUUCUUUACCUUUUGCUGAAAUAUGGGUUAGUUCUGAAGAGCCAACCGAAUUAGUCUUCAAGCCCUUUUUUGUAGGUCCCCUUGCUCACGCUAACGCUUACACAACCAAAUAGAAAGAGGCACAAAACCCUUAGUCCAAAAUGCUAGCCACCCAUAAGGGUUUCAGCUUUUCGUAUCUGCCGAAAUAAAGAAAUAGUUUCGAAAACUUACCACCGUUUCCUUCAGCCAACGAUUCCACUUUAGUUCUUAUUCGAUUCUGAUGUAUAUCUAACCUUCAAACCCUAGCAGAAGUCAGUCCUUUCCUGGUCUAAAGAUUCGACUAUACCCCUAAACUAUGGGGUUUUCGGCUUUUUGAAACAGUAAAGAAGAUGAGAUAUGAGAGUUUUGUAGUGGCUUUGUCAACAAAACUUUAGGGUUUAGAAGAAGAAAGAAUCAGCCACAAGAUGGAGAAGAAUUAGAGGGUUUGGCUAGGAGAAAUCGGCACAGAAGAAAUAUAGGCUUUUGGGAUUUCGGCUUUUGUGUAUAAAGCUUAGGAACGAAUGAUUAGAAAGUAGAGAUGAGUAAAAUAGCAGAAGGAUUCGGCUAUGGAGGAAAAGAAGAAGAGAAAGUAGAUGAUGAGAAAAGAAAAGAAAAGAAAAGAAAAGAAAAAGAAAAAACUGAAUCCUAAAGGCCAAAUAUACGGCACUUAUUAGCUAUGGCCGAGUGAGUGUAUUUCGGCAUAAGAAUUCUUCCUAAAUUUCAAUUCCCUGAAUUGCUCCUUGAUUUUUGGCCAUAUUCAAUGUUUGAAUUCCAUUCAAACUCUUGACCGAUCAGCCCACCGUUUCCACCACCUCAGGCAUGCUGCCAAGAGUCCCAAUCAGACCCCAACUCCUUCCCCACGCAUGCAGCAAAAAUCCCAACCUUGUGUGCAUGAGAUGAAGCUUGAACCCCAGACCUCCGUCCGCCUUGCGCCCGAGCUGCUAGCCUCUGUACCACGUUUUCUCCCUUACUAAUAUAUGGUUACAAUUAAUUAUAAACCUUACCUGCUUCAGUUCUGGCCUGCUUUAAAAAUAAAAUAGAAUUCGUCCGCGCAAGGACUCAAACCUGCACCCUCUCCGCAUGCCCAGCACGCUGCUGCCACUGCGCCACAGGCACUCCUUGUAGCAUAACUCGGUUGCAACUAUUCUUGAACCUUACUUUAGUGCGAUCUGGCUUCUAAAAUAAAAACAAGCCUUUGUGUGCGCCAACCCUCGAACCUAGGCACUAUACCACACUCCCAACGCCUCUACCACUGGACCGAGCUUCCCUUUGUGUUACAUUUUAACCCCAACUAUAUAUUAGGCUUCCCUGCGUCGUUCCCUGAUAUUUAGAAAAAUAAAACACUUUUGCACAUGCUGGGAGUUGAACCACAGCUCUCCUUCUCACUACCUAGCAUGCUAACCACUGGGCCAGGUACACUUCUUCAUGCCCAUUCUUGCCCAAUUUAUUUUAUAAGCCUUAUGCCCAGAUUCCCUCUAUGAGGCAAAAAUUAAAACAAUUUUUCUCCUAGAGUUUAAACCCCAAAACAACAAUACUUUUAUAAAUAUAUAUGUAUUUUUUUCUUUCCUAUCUAAUAAUAAAAAUUUUAUAAAUAUAUUUAAUAAUAAAAAUUUCAAAUAUCACUAAUACAGUAAAUAACAAUAACAUUCAUAAAAUUUUUCAAACAUACAUACAGUAAUAUUUUUCUAAUAAUAAUAAUUUUAUCUCAUAAUACUAAUUAAAAUUUGAUAAAAAUUUAAAAUAUCCGUAAUAAUAAAUACAGUAAAAAAUUUUCUAGUAGUAAUUUAAUUCAAAAUUUUUCCUUAAACGAUAAUAUUUAAAACUUCUUAAUUAUUCAGGUUUUCUUCUAUCCGAAUCCCAGACUCAAAACCCAACUCUUCUAGGCCCCAAAUUCAGGGUGUUACAUAUAAUUUGUAACGCCUCGAUUUUUGGUCCCGGAAGUAUUGGGCCCUGAGUCUGGGUUCAAGUGGAAAACGGCCCGAAUAAUUCGGAUGUUAUUAUUAUUUCGUAUGUUUAGUUUAGUAAUUAAAUAAAUUACGAAGGGUUUAUGGUGUAGGAAAAAAGGCCUAAGAGUAAAUUUAAUUGAGGCAAUUCCUGAAAUUUAAUUUUGGGAGAGAGGGUUCUGGCGAUAUGGGCUUUUAAAGUUGAGGUGGUAAAUAGGACACAAAAAGAUUUAUGGUAAAGUGGCAUGUGGCUCCACGUAGGUGUUUGGGGAGUGACAUGUGGAUGUUUAGGGGGAGCCAGAGUUCAAGUCACAAGGUAAGUGUAUUGUUACUUUUAUUUUUUUUUGUGCAUGUGCCGGGCAUGUGAUAGAGCUUAAGUGGAAAUUCGGUUAGGGCUUUAGGAAGGUUGGGCCGUGGGUCUGAAUGGCCAUUAGGGCAAGCUUUAUUUUCUUUUUGUUUUGCUGAAUUAGGGUUAGCCACCUAGAGCCUUCCCUUUCAUUCUAUUCUCUUCUCAGUAUCUCAAAAAGCCGAAAAAUGAAAAGUUAGAUCUCCUGAGUGCCGAAUUCUUCCUUCUCUUCUCCUCUCUUCUUCUAUUUUCUUUUUCUCCUUCUUUUCUUCUCUAGCCGAAACAUUCCUACCAUUCUACUCAUCUCCUCUUUCAUUCCCAUUCUUUUCUAAACCUCUAUAGCCGAUUUCCAUAAAAGCCGAAAUCCCGAAAGUUGUUUCUUGUGUCGAUUUCUCCUGGCCAAAAUUCUCAUAUUUUCUUCAUUUAUUUUGGCCUAUUUUCACAUUCUCUAAACCUCAACCCCUGUCGACAAUACCACUGCAAAAUCACCAUACCAAAUCAUCUUCCUCUUCACAGUUCUAAAAGUUGAAAACACCAUAGUUUUUAGGGACAUAUAAUCGAAUCUUUAGAUCUCUAAGAUUCGAUUUCUGCUAGUGUUUAAGGGCUGGAUCUGCAUCAUAUCUGAGUAGAAACUGAAGUGGAAUCGUUUUGGUUGAAAGAACCUGUGGUAGGUACUCAGAUCUAUUCUUUAUUUCGGGUUUUAGAAAAGCCAAAAUCCCUAAAGGCAUAGGGAGGCUGUCGAUUGGAGCUUAAGGCUCUAAGGGUUCUAACAAUUGAUUUGUUUUGGUGUUAGUGUGAUCUAGAGGCUGCUGAUCGAAAGCUUGGACAAGUGGAACGACUAGAUCGAGAUCUAGUCACUAGUUUUGGCAAAGGUAGGAUCUUAAGGGCCAUAUGUAUUAAUGGCUGAUUAUGGUAAGUAAGUUUAUGAUGGUUGCCAUUGUAUUUUGGAUCUGAUAUGUCUAGUGACCGAUUGUAGGAUAUCCUGGGUGAUUUCGGUAGCAGUUGUUGCAAAUCAGGUGUGUAAACGACACCCACUAGUAGACUAGAUCGGCAAAAGCUGAAAAGCCGAAAUGCCGAAAAGCUGACAUUUCGAGAACUUGCGAGCGUGCGAACGCUCGUGGGAUUGUUUGUAUUGAUAAUUUUGGUAACUUCAAAGGUAAGAUAGCAAAGUACGCAAUUUCGUGCACCUCGAUGAAUUUGGGCUUCGGUGGGCCAAAAUUGGGUAAUGGGCUAACGGACCAUUUCAGUAAAAACGUCCGGUAAGUAUUCUGAAGACACGUUAAUAACUGUAAUGAUCUUGAAACCCUAAAAAGAUUGAUAAAAUUAUUGAAAUACCUCUGUAAGGUAGAAUUACCAUAAUACCCUUAAAGGGGUAAGUUUACGAUUAUGCCCCUCGAGGGUAAAUAACUAUUCUUACGCUAUAAUCUGACUGUCUUUCUGAAGCAUGCCUUGUUAAUUAUAUAUAUUCUGCAUACAUGUCAUACUGCAUGGGGUUGGGUUUUGUUAUGGAGGAAGAACUCGUUCUGGUGGCUGUGCCACAUAUUCUGAUAUAAGCAGCUUUGCUGCGGAUUAUAGUUAGUGCCGCAACUGGUGCUAACAAUGUAAGUGUAGGGAUGGCGUGGGUGAUUUAUUCCCCAUAGGAAGUGUAGGGAUGGACGGAGGCAAGUGCAGGGUUGGAUGGGGUUAUCAUGCAUUAAUCAUAUGAGACUGUUUUGUUGUGGGCCAACUGUAUUGAAAUGGGCCCAACUGUGUUAAUAUGGGCAAGGCCCAACAUAUCUCGACUUGUAAUAGGGUUAUGGCCCAGAUUGACACUGAUAUGGGCUAGGCCCAGUAUACUCUGAUACUGUAAGGGGCUAUGGCCCAGAUCAAUAUUGAUAUUGUGACACACCUAAAGUGACCCUAGUCGGAAAGCGGUUUCAGGACCGCUAAACCGAGUCACCAAAUUAUUUGAAUGUGAUAUUUAUUGUCUAAAAUAUGUGAUUAUGAAGGUGUGAAAGUUUUAGGCUUCGAUUUAGUAAAUUGCAUGUGAAUUUAGUCAAAAGGACUUAUGGGUGACAUUUUUGAAAUGUGAUAGGCUAAUCUACAAGGACCUAAUAGUGCAUGUAAUCAAAAGGGAGGACUUGCAUGUCAAUUUUCCCCCCCUAAUAUGUAGUGGCCGGCCAUGAGCAUGGGUGGACAAGAUGUUAUGGCUAAAAACAUGUCAUAAACAUGUUGGGGUAGUGCAUUAUGUAAGGAUUAAUAAAAUAAAGAGCAUGGGUGGACAAGAUGUUAUGGCUAAAAACAUGUCAUAAACAUGUUGGGGUAGUGCAUUAUGUAAGGAUUAAUAAAAUAAAGGGCAUGGGCAAUAAAAUAUUAGUGUUAGUAGGAUGAGAAACAAAAAGAAAAGAAAAGAAAGGAUGUGUGUGAUUGUCCCCCCCAUUGCCGUGAGUGAAGAAAAGAAAAAAAAAGAAAAUUUGUUCAUCCUCUUUCAUUUCUUUUGGCCGAAAAUUCUAAGGAAGAAGGAAGGAGUUCUUGCUUCAUGUUUGGUUUGGAAGAGGAUUAGGAGGAGGUUUGGCCAUACUUGUAUCUAGAUUAAGCUCAAGAGCUUAGAGGACUAAAGUUGGAUAAAGGAAAGGAAAAAAAGUGAUCGAAUAGCCGCCGAAAUCGUUCGACAACAUCCGAGGUAAGUUUUAAGUGAUUAAACGUUGAGUAAAUUCAAUCAUAAUAGGGCAUAAUGAGUUGAUUUAAUAAGAUAUGAUGUGGCCAUGAUAUGUCUUAAACUCAAAUGGUAAGUUCAUAUGUGUUUGGACUUGGAAAUUUAAGAGCAAAUUGUAAUAAUUUGCUUUGGACAGCAGCAGUAACGUGAUUUUAGAAAAUCACUAUAAAUUGUUGGUGUGGAAUUAUAGGCUGAAUAAAAUAUGUAAUCAAGGCUUAAUUAGUCUAGUUUCUUAUAAAAGAGACCUUGUGAGCAAAGAAAUUUCCUAUAAAGAGAUAUUUAAAGUUGUGUGAGACGGUGUCAGAAUGACUCCGAAAUCCCCUGUUCUGUUUUUAGAAAAUCAUUAUAAAUUGUACAAAAAUGGUUAUAAGAUAAAAUUUAUAUGCUUAGACUCCUUAAUGAGUCUAGUUUCAAAUGAAAUCAAAUACAACACAUUUUGAAUUCUGUAAAAUGAGAAAUUUGAUUCGUAGUGAAGAGUGGUCAGAUUAGUCAAAUAGUGAAACAGGGGAAACUUUAAGAAAAAUCUGGUAUUGAUUGGCCAAACCUAAAAUUCUGGAAAUUUUAUGUAUGGAAGAUAUACGAGUCUAUAUUCAGGAAAAAUUAACGGCAAGUGAUUUGGAGUUUUGUAGCUCCGGUUAUAAAUAAUUUAGUGACCAUUGCUCAGGAAAACAGCUCGUAGUGAAUAUGUGAUUUUGUUGUAAACAUGGAUAAAACUUGUUUUAGUUGCUCAUAAGCUAUUGAUUAAACCCAUACUUUAAUUCUAAAUCGUGAUAUUGUAAGCUUAUGAGUAUUCGAAUAUGAAAUGAUAGUAUGGCGUAAAAUUGAAUUAUUCAUUGGAAAGUGUAUAUAUGUGAUAAGGCCUAAUGGCCAAUGUGAUGAAUGUGAACAUGUGUAUGUGUGAUAAGGCCGAAUGGCCAAUGUGAUGAAUGUGAACAUGCAUAUAUGAGAUAAGGCCGAAUGGCCAAUGUGAUUAAUGUGAACAUGUGUAUGUGUGAUAAGGCCGAAUGGCCAAUAUGAUGAAUGUGAACAUGUGUAUGUGUGAUAAGGCCGAAUGACCAAUGUGAUGAAUGUGAACAUGCAUAUAUGAGAUAAGGCCGAAUGGCCAAUGUGAUGAAUGUGAACAUGUGUAUGUGUGAUAAGGCCGAAUGGCCAAUAUGAUGAAUGUGAACAUGUGUAUGUGUGAUAAGGCCGAAUGGCCAAUGUGAUGAAUGUGAAAGUGUAUAUAUAUGUGAUAAGGCCGAAUGGCCAAUGUGAUGAAUGUGAACAUGUGUAUGUGUGAUAAGGCCGAAUGGCCAAUGUGAUGAAUGUGAAAGUGUAUAUAUAUGUAAUAAGGCCGAAUGGCCAAUGUGAUGAAUGUGAACAUGUGUAUGUGUGAUAAGGCCGAAUGACCAAUGUGAUGAAUGUGAACAUGCAUAUAUGAGAUAAGGCCGAAUGGCCAAUGUGAUGAAUGUGAACAUGUGUAUGUGUGAUAAGGCCGAAUGGCCAAUGUGAUGAAUGUGAACAUGUGUAUGUGUGAUAAGGCCGAAUGGCCAAUGUGAUGAAUGUGAACAUGCAUAUAUGAGAUAAGGCCGAAUGGCCAAUGUGAUGAAUGUGAAAGUGUAUAUAUGUGAUAAGGCCGAAUGGCCAAUGUGAUGGAUGUGGAAGUGUAUAAAUGUGAUAAGUCCCAAAGGGCAAUUGUGUCAGUACUAUAUCCGGGUUAAAACCCCGCAGGCUUUAUGCGAGAAUAUUAUCCUGAUUAAUGUCCGUAGGCUUCGUGCUCGUACUAUAUCCGAGCUUUAAAGACCCGGCGGCUAAAUGCUAGGAUUCAAGUAAGACUUUGAUAUUGAGUAUCUGCAUUAAGUUACCAUGAAAUAAGUAUUAUGUAUUCAAGAUGUUCAGGUACGUAUUACUUACUCAUCGGUGGAGUGAUUUCGAGGUGAAUUAUCAGUAUCAAAGAGGUAGGUAAAUGUGAUUAAUAUUAUAACUCCAAAUGUGAGAAUGAUCUAAUUGGUAUUGGUAUGUUUGUAUAAUAAAGUAUGCGAUGAAAUAUUCUUAUGUAUUAGUGCAUAUUCUGCCCAAAAGCCUUAUGAUCUGAGUAUGGGUUGGGUUGAGCUAGAUGUGCCAGUACAAGGUAAGGAUUAUGAUUUGUAAGCUUACAUAUAUGUGAUAAGGAAUAUGUUGGUUCUUUAUGUGCCUAUGGUAAUUUAGUACUUGUCAUGUUGAAAUACUUAAAAGUAUGGAUGUGAUUAUGAACAAGUGGAAAGGAUUAUUGAAAGUUGAAAAUCGAUGAAGAAUGUGCUUUGGAAAUAUUUGACCAUCUAGGUCAUUAUUAUUCGAAAGUAUAUAUGUGGCAGCCAAGUGUUGCGUUUAAUGAUAUUAUAGAUCGAGAUGAAGCUCUAGAUUAACUUCAUCGAACAGUUGAAAUGAAUGACCAAUGAUAGUGAUUGAGAACACUUUGUUUUGCUUAAAACUUACUAAGCAUUAAAUGCUUACUCCGUUCUUUGAAUCUCUGUUUUAUAGAUUUUGGUUCGUCAGCUAUUGGACUCGGGAUUAUUGAAGUCAAAGUCGCCCACACUAUCAAAACCCUUUUGGUACACUUUUGGUUGAACUCUGAAAAUGGCAUGUAUAGGACUACCCUUUUGUUGUUGGUCAUGUACCCUUCGGUUUUGUAUAAUUUUGGAUAGCCAUGCGAAAAUGGCUUAUAUAUGUUUGAGCAUAAUGUUAUAAUCAUUUGGUAUGGAUAUGGUUAUUGAGAGGUGUGGAUAUGCUUAACAAGUAUUGGCCAUGGGAAUGGUUAAUCACUAUCAUAAUUUGUGCUAUUUAUGAUAAAAGGGCUAGUUGAAUCAUGGAAACUAUGAAAUAGGUAAAGUCUACCUUAAAGGCAGAUGCUGACAGCAGCAGUGAUGUAGAUUUGGAAAAUCACUAAAAAUAGUAGGAAUGGAAUUAAAUAGUGAAUAAAUUAUUUAAAUGAACUUGAUGAAUCCACUUUCAUAUGGAAGAAACAAAACAGUCAUAUGAGUGGUAUGUUAAGAGAUAAUUAGGUUUUCGUGAAACAGGGCCAGAACAGUUUCUGGAUUCCCUGUUCCUACUUUGGAAAUUCAUUAUAAAUUAACCAGAGAUAAUUAGGAGUCAUGCCAUAUAUGUAUAGAUUCCUCUAUGAGUCUAGUUUCUAUAGAAACAAACGACAUCAGUAUUGAAUCCCUGUACAGGGAGAUAUCAAAAUUGAAAUGCAUGAAGGUCAGUGUAGACGCACCCUGUAAUAGGGGAGACUUUAACUAAUAAAAUUUACUAAUUGGCCUGACCAAAAAUUCUAGAAAACAAUAUGUAGAUGGAAAUAUGAGUCUAGUUUCAGGGAAAAAUCACAAAAAUGAUUUUCAAGUUGUGAAACUCAAGAUAUGAUUUUUAAAGUGAUAGCGACACAGUUAGCCAGCUGUCUGGAAAUUUUUAAAAUGGACUGCGAUAGUAAGCGAAUUUAGUCUGUGAACCCCUCGUGUCUGACUCCGGCAACGGUCUCGGGUACGGGGCAUUACAGAUAUGGGAUAAGACCCAAUUAACUCUGAUUUCUGAAUAGGGCUUAGGCCCAGUAGAGCUUGAACUGAUUUAGGCUCUAGUUGGGUUUACUUUACACACUGAGUUUUCCAAACUCACCCCCUUUUUCCCAUCUUUGCAGCUGAGCCUUAGAUCGGUGGACUUAGAGCUGGAGGGAUUCAGAGUGGCCAUGUGGACUGUUUAAAAUAAGUGUUUAUACCUUCACUUUUAUUUUAGAUUAUUUCCUUUAUGUUUUCGGGUUUUAAUUUGUAAUAAGGCCGCUUUAAUUAUUUUUAGUUGUUUUUAGUAUGUUUUGUUAGGUUAGAUAUGAUAUUGUUUUAACUGUUUGAAAUUGAAUUGCUCUAGGGCACAUUUUAAAAAGGUUACUUGAUUUCAAAAUAUCGAGAUAACAAAGCAAGGCUUCCGCAAUGAAAACGUUUUCAAAAUUAAUAACUUUUUCAAAUGGUUUUAAACGAAUUGGUUUUCCCUGAAUAAUCGCUCAGUUAAAGUGUGGCAAUGGUUGUGUGCAUGUCUAGGAUUGAAUCCGUGUAGAGCUGGGUACUUAAGCAGUCUAAUUGACUCACCUCCUCUUUUUUGGCAUCCUACCUGAUGCACAGCUUCCAUUCACUUUAAUCUUUAAUGAAGAUAUUCUUUAAACAAUAAGAAAGACUUUAGAUAAAACAUGACUUUUCUAGUAACGCUUCAAUGUGACAUGCCGGAUUCGGUCGUAACGUCUGGGCUGGGUUUGGGGUGUUACAUAAUUAGAGCUCAAAUAAUUUAUAAUUAAGUUCUAUCUUUUUGCCUAUUGUUUAUAAACUUAUUUAGUUACAAAGUCAUUCCACUAUAGUAUCGUGACUAAGCUCUCCCCAAUUACAUACCAUUAUGAAAGCUACUUAAUAAGUGCUCGUCCAAUAAUGAAGAAGAUAAUGACAACAACAAUGGAGGUAAAAAUACAAAUAAAGUUUAGAUUUUUAUACUUUGAAAAGAAAAUGAAACUGAAAUAUAUUAAAGGAUUUAGAUGAAAAUGAAGAUACGAAGUAAAGUUUGGGUACCAAAGUGCAAGUAAUACAAGAGCUAUAGGAAAAAGAAACUAAAUUACCAACUAAACCCUAAAAAAAUAAAGCAAAAGUAACUACUAAGCUUAAAAGAUGAAAGAAAAGGUGGCUUCUUUAAAGUUAUUAGCCAAAAGUACUUUUAACUAGCUUAGAUACAAUAUAAAUUUUAGACAAAAAAAUACCCCUAAAAUUUGUGUUUUGACUUGGGUUGAUGUUGGACAAAAAACUACUACCUUGUAACAAUUUUUCUCUCUGUCCGACAACAAUGUCGCAACACCUAGGCUUCAGUGUCACAACACCCUAGAUAGUAGCACAAGUGAGGCUCUAGGGGUUCUUGGUGUCGUGACAUCCUUUGGUCGAUGUUGCGACAUCAUGACCGUGGAGGCUCAAGGUCACAAUUUUGGCUUGGUGUUGUGAAAUCAUUCCCUCAAUGUCAUGACUCUUUUGAUAGUAGGCUCCAUGUUGAUUUUCCCUUGAAGUUUUGCAUCCUCAGUGUCACGAAAUCCAUGGCAUUAGUGUAGUGAGACCCAUUCUAAAUUAUGUUUUCCUUUAGGUUGGGCCAUUUUUGUUUUCCUACACAACUUAAUCACGUCGUUAGGUUCCUCAUGGCACUAUUUUGCCAAUUUGGGUCUCAAAAGGAAUAAAACUCAGCCAAAAUCAUUUAUUAAUGGUGAAAGCUAAAAAUAAACAAAAGCAUAGAAAAUACACUUAAAUUGCUUGAGAAUAAGCUCCACGAGUGUAUUGGAGAGCUUAAUUUGAUGUAUUAAAUUACGAUAAAUCAUUAUACUAGAAGCAAUUGUCCCUAUGCCAAUCAAGAUAUAGAAAUAAGAUAAAUGAGAAAAUGGAUGAGAUAAGACAAAAAUUAGGUUUUUAAAUAAAAUUUGACAUGAACCAAAUUCAUUUCAAAGGUACUAUACAAGCCUCUAGAGCAAAGGAACCCAUAGAACAACGUAUGUAGAGCUUGUCCUUUUUGUUCAUGUUCGUAUUAGUUCUUAUUGUUGGAUUUGGUGCCCUAAGUGUAGUAUUUUCGUCUAAGUACACUUGUAAUUUUUUUGAAUAUAUUGGUUAAUAAAAUUAUUCAUAAAUUACAUUAAUACUUUUUAUAUUGUCCUCACAUGGUUUUUUCACGCAAAACAAAAUGGAAGCAAAUAUUAUUCAUUGGUUGUCUAAUGUUUAAUUGAUAGUAAGUGGUGUUACGCGGUUAGAUCGUAAUACAUAAAGACAACUUGUAUUAGUAGAAGAACCUAAACAUGUAAUUUGUCUAAUCAAAAAUGAGAAAAUCGAUUGAAAGAAUGAUAUGUCAACUAUCAAAUCUAAUUGGGAGAUGACUUGUCUUGAGUAUCGAAGCGGAUGACUCUUAGAAUAUAGAGACAUAAAUGUGACUGACUGGACCCAUGUAGAAUAAUUUUGAAUCCGUUUAUGGAUCUAUUCUCUUGCAAUUUUCAUAGUGUGACAUACCUAAAUCCUGAGUGGAUGACAGACUAUGUAGGCGUCGUACACCUUUAUGUAAGUAGAAAAGUGAGUUCGAAUAGAUAAGGAACCAAAAGUUGGUGCGUAGGGUGUACAACUUCUUCAAUAUGUAGCGUCAUUCACAAUAGUGGAAUUCAUAGCCCGAGACAUGGGUAAAUGUUAUCCUCUCAUAGGCAUUACAUGGUUUAUGAAAAGUAAAUAUGGCCACGAGUCGUUUGUCUUUGUGAUGGAUGACUUGAUCACUAGUUGUUAGUUAUUGACUUUUCAUUAAGAAAGAUGUAAUGAUUAUCAUGAUAUAAAAUAGGAUCAUACUAGGAGAACGAAUAUUAUCCUAAAGAGAUCAAGGAUAUACUAUGGGCAUAACACACUUAUGACAAGGUUAUUGGACGAGCACUGAAUAGUUAUUUUCGUAAUGGUAUGUCAUUAGGGAGAGCUCAGUCACGAUACUAUAGUGGAAUGACUUCGUGACUAAAUGAGUUUAUAAUUAAUAAACAAAAAUAUUGCAAGAAUAAUGAUAUAUGAAUUGAAAACAUCUUUUACUAAGGAAAGUUCGUGUGUCAAUAAUAUUGCAAUGCUAUGUUUGAAUUGAAAAUUCUAGAUUAUUAUUGUACGAAUGACAUGAUUUAAUAUAUUGAAAAGUGAUGAAAUAAUGAUAUAUAAAAUUUGUAAGAAUAAUGAUAUAUGACUAGUAGCACAUGAAAUGUUGGAUGGUUCAAUCAUUAAUGGCUUGCUAUAUAAUAGCUGAAUAUAUUGAGAAUUUGAUAUAACAUGAUGUUUUAUUAAGUUGGAUAAUUUGUGAAAGAAUGAAAAGGAAGGUAAGUCCAUUUGCAAGUAAAUACUGUGUGCGAGGUAUGUUAAUUACUUAAAUGAUGAUUAUAUGAUAAAUGUAUGCUCUUGAUAAGAAUAUGAUUUGAAUGCUCAAUGUAUGAAAAAUUUAUGAAACAUUGACAUGAUUGAUAAUAAGAGGAAGAAAAAUCUUGGUUGAAUGAAAUAGGAUAUUCGAUGGAUUCUUGAAAAGAAUUGAUGGUAAAAAGAAUCUAUCCCGGACGGGUGAUCCAAUCCCUAUAUAGCCCUCUCGAAGAAUAUGUGUAAACUUAUUUAGCUCAGACGGGUAAUCCGAAUUAGGUUCUGAAUUUAGCCUGGACUGGUAAUUCAGAUUCGAUCUCAUUUGAGUAUAUGUCAUUGUAGGGGAUUUAGUCUGGACUGGUAAUCCGGACAAUACUCUAUGAGUUUAUAUUACAGGGGAUUUAGCCUGGACUGGUAAUCCCGCUAUAAAAAAAGAGGUUUGUGGGAGUGUGCUUUUUAGAAAGGGAAAAUACAAAUUGACGGACAUGAACUUGUAAAGUGAUCUAGCCUCCCGAAGAAUAUGUGUGCAAUAUGGAUUUAUCCCAAACGGGUAAUUCGAUUAGGGUCUAAAUUUAUCUUGGACUGGUAAUUCAGAUUCGAGCUCAUGAAAGUAAUUUUUGUUACAGGGGAUUUCGCCUGAAUUGGUAAUUUCGACAUUUACUCUAUGAGUUUAUACUAAGGGGGAUUUAGCCUAGACUGGUAAUCCUGCCAUAAGAUGCGAGGUUCGCGAGAAUGCGUACUUGAAAUGACCAUUUGUACGAUUUGAUGGUACAUGGGAUAUCCAUCGAAAUUUCUGAGAAAAUUCAACGUGAUUAAUAUGAGAAAUGAAGAAAAAGGGUUUUUUCCGAGACAAACUUAUUUUUGUUAUAAGAUAAUACUAUGAUGUAUAUGAUUGCCACAUUUGGACGAGUGGUGGUGCUAAGAGUAGCACAGGUACGUACUCGAACCGACGUGUUGGACAUGGGAAAUGAAAUGGACUUGUGGUAAGAAUGCAAAUAAAUGAGUGAUACAUAUGAGAAUAAUUUUUAUGGCAAUCUUAUGAUAGUUAUCAUUGUAUUGCACUAAAACAGCUUUGGACAGCAGCAAUAGUACAACUUUGAAAAUCCACCAAAAAUUGUGGAAGUUGAAUUAAUGGCUGAAUUAAAUAUGAAAUGAAAGCUUAUUGAGUCUAGUUUCACAUAGAAGAAAUGGUAUAAGCAAAAGAAUUUAAUAUUAUGAGAUAUUUGAAUUCUUUUGAGAUAGAGUUAGAAUGAGUUCGGAAUCCCCUGUUCUGACUUGGGAAAAUCACUAGAAAUUAUACAAAAAUAAUUAUGAGUUAGAAUUCAUAUCACUAAAUCCUUAAGGAGUCUAUUUUCAAGAUAAUCAGAUGGGAACAUUUCUCGAAUCCCGUACUAAGAUAAAUAAAUAUUUGUGAAGAAAGGUCGAAGCUGUCAAACAGUGAAACAGAGGAGACUUUAAAGAAUAAACUAUACUUAUUGGCUAGACAAAAAUUCGGAAUAUUUUAUGGUGAGAAGACAUGUGAGUCUAGUUUCAGGGAAAAUUAGAGGAUCUUAAUUUGGAGUUCCGUAGUUCUAGAUAUAAAUAAUUUUGUGACUGUGACUCGAGAAAAUAACUUAACUGGACUUUGAAUAAAUAAAGAGAAAUUGAAAAAUAGCAUGUUAAUACAUUGCUUAUUAUUUUUCAUACGAGCUUACUAAGCGUAAAGCUUACUCCUUCCUUUGCUUUUCCUUAAUGUUCUAAGGUUGGCUCGGGGUUGGAAAUCGUCGGAGGUAGCAUCACACUAUCAAGCCAAUACCAUCGGAGUAUUGAUACAUAUGUUAGAAAUUUCAAGUGAGUGGCAUGUAUAGAGACCUAGUUUUAUGACAUGAGUUAUUAUGAUUUGGCUAAAUGUAUUGGUCUAUAUCGAGCUAUUGUAUAUGGCCAUAAGAUGUGGCUCAUAUUGAUUAUGGUUUGUAAGUCUAGCUAAUCAUGUCAUGUUUUAAUGCAUAUGAUGGGAUAAUUUGAAUAUGUUGUUUGACAUGCAUGUUUGGUAAUAUGAUAUAUGUGUUGGAUGUAUGCUCUAUGAACAAUUGAGGUGGUCAUAGUCAUGAAGUAAUUGUACGUUAUGAAAACAAUGUGAUAAUGGUUGAACACGAGUGCUUAAUGGAUAAGUUAGUAACCAUAGUAUAAUGGUAAAAGUGGUCAUCAAUAUGACAAGUCUUAUGAAUGUGAAUUAAGGAAUCUAAACUUGGUAUUUCAUGAGUAGAUGUAUUCCAUGUAAGAGGACAUGUAAAUGAUAUGAAUAUGUCUUGAUAAAGAGUGUUUAAUCACUAAAGUGAAGCCAUGAUUUGUGGCUUUAAUGCGUAUAAGGUUGUAAGGGUUUAUGGGUAACAUGAAGACUUCGAAAAUAGCCUAAGUAUUGACUACACGGGUUGAGACAUGGCCGUGUGUCUCAACUGUGUGAGGGACACAGCUUGGUGACAUGGGCGUGUGGCCCGGCCGUGUGGUUCAAUUUGUUGAUGAUGCUAUAAACAGAGAGUUACAAGGCCUGAGGACACGGGCGUGUUGAUGGCACACGAGCGUGCCCCUGUGUCCACACGGGCGUGUGACCCUAUUUCAUGGGGAAAUUUCUUAAGUUGUCCUGAAACUUCCCAAAGUUCUCGGUUUAGUCUCAGACCAUUUUUAAUGCAUGUUUUGGGCGUCGUAGGCCCAUAAUAGGGACACUAUGAAUAUUUUAGAUUGGUUUUAAUUUGGAAUGAAUUUUUAUGGCCCGGUUUGCAUGAUUGUUGCAUUUAAGUUCAAUAAUGCCUCGUACCUUGUCCUGGUCUCGAGUACGGGUAAGGGGUGUUACAAAUUUGACCUUGUACUUAUCAAUUGUUCAAUCUGCUUUCAUUUUUUGUUUGAAAAUCCAUUUAGAAUUUAGUGGUUUAAUUCUCCGAGGUAGAUCCACUAAUUCCCACGUAUGAUUUUUCAUGAUGGAAUCAAUUUCACUCUUGAUAGUAUUUUUCCAAAAAAAUGGUUUCAGAUGAGCAGAAAGCUUCACUAUAAGUUCGAGGUUUAGUCUCUAGCAUAUAGGUUAGAAAAUCUGAUCCAAAGGACUUUUCCACCCUUACCCGUUUACUUCUUCUUGGCUCCGCCUUGACUUCAACCUUUUGUUGAAAGUCUUGACUAUCGAUAGUCUCUGAAGUUUGUUUAGAUGAACUUGACCCAUCUAUCCAUCUACUCUAGUCUUACAAGAGAAUAUAUUUUCAAAGAAUGACACAUUUUUAGAUUCCAAUAUCGUAUUCUUGUGAAUUUCAGGAUUAUUUGGUUCAUGUACAAGAAACUGAUAUGCAUUGCUGUGGCGUGCAUAACCAAUGAAAAUACAAUCUAUCACUUUAGGACCUAUUUUCAUUUGCUUUAGCAAAGGAACCAUUACUUUUUCAAGACACCCCCACACUUUUAAGUAGUUGUAGAAAUGUUUCCUACCCUUUCAUAAUUCAUAUGGUGUCUUGUUCUUUUUCUUAUGGGGCACCUUAUUUAAAAGGUAAUUCGCUAAUAAAACAACUUCCCCCUAUAUUUUUUGUAACAACCCAUAACUUUCUAGCAUUGUGUUCAUCAUUUCCUUUAGGGUUUGAUUUUUACGCUCUACUACUCCUUUGGACUAAGGAGAGCACGGUGGUGUCACUUCAUGAAUAAUACCAUAUUGUGCACAACAUUUACCAAAUAGUUCAACAUAUUCACCAUCACGGUCACUUCUCACCCUUUUAAUUCUUUUAUUAAUUUGGGUUUCAACUUCCUGCUUAUAGAGAACAAAUUUCAUCUUUGCUUUUAAGCAAUUAUACAUAGCAAUAUUUUGUGCUAUCAUCAAUGAAGGUAAUAAAAUAUUUAUUCCUUCCUUUAGUUUAAAUAAACUUUAAGUCAAAAAGAUCACUAUGUAUUAGAUCAAUUGAUUCGGUAUUUCUUUCAAUAGAUUGAAAUGAAGACCUUAUUAGUUUUGCCUCAACACACGUUUCACAUUUAUGAUUAUAAAUAAUGUGAAAUGAAGGAAUGUGCUCUAAGUUAAUUAAUCUACAUAAAUUAUUAAAAUUAACAUGUCCAAGCCGACCAUGCCAUAAAUCAAAUGACUCAAGCAUAUAAACAGAAGAAGAAGCAUCAUUCUUAUUCAUAGUAUUAGCUUUUACAGAGAUAUCAUUGAGUUUCCACAAAUCAUUUAAUACACAUCCUCUCCUACAAAUGUCCCCCUUUUGACAAAACUAACUUCUGGGAUUUAAAUACCAUCCUAAAUCCAUGCAUACUUAGGAGGGUCUUAGAGACAAGAUUCUUGUAUAUGUCAAACACAUAUAACACAUUCUGAAGUUUCAAAUCUUUUCCAGAAGUCAACUUCAAAAUCACAAUGCCUUUCCCCUUGAUCUUCAAAAUAAAUCUUCGACAGGAGGUUGAUCGGUUAAUUCAAUAAGAAAUGGGGGUUAGCGCUCGAUUUCGUUGGUCCCAUCCAAUUCAAGUGCAUGCAAUUGGAUUGUUUCCUUAUUCAAUGAAGGAAUUUUUAAGUUCAACCAACCUAUUUUCAAAAUAGGAAGUGGAUAAAUAAAAAUUUUGGGAGAGUCUUUCAUUUUUCCGUCAUUAUAGGCAACACCAUUCAUAUUAUCUAUGGAAUUCGAACCCGAACUCUAUUUAUGAUUCCUUAUUUCUAUCUCAUUAGCCUUGUUUCAAUUUCAUUUCAUAUUUUAUUUUAGCAUAUCGAUUUUUUUUUACUUUACGUCCAACCUCUCCCCCCUUUUUCCAUCUAUAUUCCCUUUUUUUUUUCAUUUCAGGGCCGAAUUACGCCUGUUUUCACAUCUAGGAUUUACAUAUACAACAUAUAUUACUGUCAAGGGUGAAUUUCUUAUUUUAUUGAGCUUAUAAUAUAUAAUUUAUAUUAGAUGUUAGAAUAUUAAUUCUAUUAUAUAUUUAUCUAUUCUAUUAUAUAUAUUCUAAUAUAUAUUAGUAUUAUUUUUAUAUUAUUUAUCUAUUUCUUAUCUAUUUCUAUUUCAUUUAUUUCAUUUGCAUUUAGAAUUUUGAUUCAAAAAAAAGUAAGGAAUUAUAAACUUGAAAAAUACGGAUCGAGUUGUGCCAUACAUAUGAAAGAAUAUAGAAUAAUGAUGUAUUUGGCGAAUCAAAUACCAUGGUCUAAUAAGGAACCUUUCAGAUUCGUUGAUAAUUUUUUGAAAGAUUUCUUCGAAAAGGUUUCAUUAACUCCUCAUUUAUAUCGAGUAGACCUUGUUGUUGCGAGAAUUCUUAAUUCAUGAGUUGU
rnacentral:lncRNA from 1 species